UAUCCGUCUCUUGAUCCCUCAUUCCACUAAUCCGUUGUUACUGAUUCAUUCAAGGCAUAGACUCCCCAUUUCUUUGUCUUAUUAGCGCAGGUGUUCGUCAACGAUGAAAGCCGCUGAACUUAAGACUCGAGUUGAGAAAGAGGGCUAGGCCCCCGGGAGGGCUUUCAGGGACUGGGGAGGGUGGAUUAUAGAGCUAGGGGCAAAUCGAAGGUUUUUCCAUUGGGAUUGGGCAUGGACGAGCCUCGACUGGGCCAGCAUUGAUGAAAAAAUGAAAAAUUCUCCCAUCGCAUCAUUAACCGGUGUAGGAUUAAAGAUCAGGUCCAGGAUUCGAGUCAAAUCUACCUUCCCUCUCAUCUCAGGGUGAGGCAAGGAAUUCAAUCAAAUCUUUUAUGCCAGCCCAAACAAAACGAAUUACUAUCUUUGGAAAGGAAGGAAUGCAGGGAACAACUCUUUCCUUUCCGCUGGUUCUUGAAAGCUAUCAAUCCCCGCUUUUCCCCUCCUCUCGCAUUGGUUCUGCAUCAGAUGAUGAGCCCAUGCACAAACUUUUUCUUUUAUUGGCCCCCGAUAGGUAGGCUAGUAGAUUGAGUCGAAAGCCUACCAACGCAUAAAGGUUCCGAUUCGAGCGAGAGCCCAAACGGGGGAGGCGAGAACAUCUUGAUCGAAAGUUCCACUGUUCUGAAUAGUGAGAAAGACUUUUUAAAAUUAGAUAAAAUCGAUCGAGAAUAUCAUCAUCUGUUAGGUGGGCCAACCGACCGACCGAGUUGGGAUGGGCGUCCAUGUCACAGAACCUUUCUCUAGCCAAGAAUCCCAUUAUUGACCGAAUCGGGGAAUUCAUUUGAAUUGCCCCUUUCUGUUGGAAUAGUUGAAAGUAUUCUUCUUAGGGGUUUUUCUUUUUUCUUAUCAACAUAGAGUUGGAACUUAGCCGUGUAAGUUGCGAGUGGACUAGUGUGAAGCUUUAGUUUCGUUACCGGCCAGAGCUCCUAGCCGAUGACCGACUGCCCCUUUCGAGUUCAGCUGACCCCUUCUUGAUUCAGUUUUUCCCUAUUUGAGAUAGAUGAAUCAAUGGAACUUUGAUCCCCGGUUCCUGCUUAGUCAAUUCUUGGAAGGCCCCUAUUAAUGUAAUGAUUGAACAAUCAAAGUCCAUUUGCCGCGACUACGAGCUGCCAGUGCGCCUUUAUUUGAGUCGCCUACGCUCGGGGUCGAGAACUGGUUCAAAAGUAGAAGGUGGUCCAAAAUGAGCUAACGCGAGUUUUCGAACGACGCCUUUCCCGUUUUUGAACAUCACUGAGAUAGGCUUUUCCCUGAACCAUUGACCCUUAUUCGAGAGGGAUUCAUUCAAUAGAGCUUUAUUUGUUUGAUCUAGUAAGGGGGGUGUUAGAAAUAAGCCACCGCCCGACGAAACAGCGGUUUACAACAGAGCGACCGGGGACAUCGAGCGAAAAGCUCCAAUACGCAUAUUCGGAGCUACGAGGAUGUUGUAGUCGCAGAAGCUGGAUCAACAUCAUGACAAUGGCAUUCUGGAAACCAUUGGGCUAGCCACAAUUGGUCUAAUGUCUUGGUGCGUAUGGCGGUACACUGAGAGCACCUUUCAUUUCAAGUCGGCUGAAAAAGAAAGAAAAAAGGGUUCAUCGUCUUUUUCCCGCUUUCACCUUCGAUUGCGAAGGGAUUUGAGGCCGGUUUUCAAUUUGCUUCUCUCUCUCCGGCGAGGUUUAAACUUCGCGUGGUGGGAAGGCCUUCACGAUUCCCAUCUUCCCGUCCAACAAAAAAAGUGAAGGGGAACGAACAACUAUUCCCUAAUUGAAGAAAGUUGGAAAGCCUUCAGAGCCUCAACCCCUACCAUUAAAUUAAAAAAAAUGAAAGCUGACUAGCAAUCGCUCGUUUUUCUUAUUAGCGGAUGUUAAUAAUGAAAGACAGAACAUAUAUUAGAAGGCAAUCCCCGGGGAAUUCCUAUCGAUUUCCGAUGGAUAACAAUCCAUCUUUCUCGCUUUCGCUCUUUCUCUCAAUCAGUCGCGAGGGUUCCGGGUAUGAGAACGCAAGUGCCGGAAUCAAACAAAAGGUCUGAAUGUCCGAGGCCGAAAGAAAAAAUGCUCCGCGGGAAACUCGUUUCAUGUCGGCGUAUUCAUGCCGGUUAGACGUCGGCCAUGAAAUCCAUCACUAUACCGAGCAGAUCACGGGCAUUCACAUCCAUUUCUAUAGAGCAAAGGGAACUGUGUGCGAUUCUCUCGUGAAUCGCCUUCAGCAAGGUAUGGCACUCAGGGUCUGAACCCGGGGAUAAAUCUUUUUCUUUUCUGACCCUACAGCUAUGAGAGGUUCAGGACUACCCUUGCACCUGAACAUACAGCCAGUAGGAACGGCAUUGAAUAGUGCUUAGCAUAGUUAAGUCACUACCCCUGGGAUUUCCUAAAGUGCCUUUACCCUGCCAUCAAAGUAAGUAUUUCUCCCUCCAGUUACCCCAGCGAACAUCCUUUUUUUCUUGCUAGUAUAACCAGAGAACGACAUUAGUAUUACUCUAAAGGGGGCUCAUAACAGUGGAGUACUUUUUCUUUUCCUUAUUGAGGUGUCUUAUAGAGCAGAUCAUAGGAUCGUAGGUGAGACUGAUUGUUCUCAGCUCGUUUGCUAAACAGUAAUCUCAUAAACCAGUAGACCAAUCUUCGCUAAUUGAAUUCAAUUUCAUUCUCUGAUUUUUUUGUUUUCAGAUUUCUAUUUUCACAUGAAUUCCACUGAACUGCAUUUCAUAUGAUCCAGAGAUCGAUCUUUCCACAGGUCACUCUGCCAAGGUGAACUAUUUCCUUUUGGUUGGUUUCUUAGAAUAGAAGCAUAAGUCCCUUAUCUCCUCUAAGCAGUCCGAUCUGGCUUUCCUGCCUCUCUCUUCUCUAGUCGUCUAGUAUUGUACCCUUAUUCAGAUUAUGAUUUUCAUUCAUUCAAUGAAAAAAUUGCUUGUCUAAGGUGUGUUUCGACGUACAGAUCACCAAAGACGGGAGUUAGUUUGUUCAAGUCAAUAAGAGGUAAGGUCUCACUUAAGUGUUCUGUGGUAUCUCCCGAGCAAUAGAUGAAGAGGGUCUCUCGCCGGGGUCAAUCUCAAUAUAAGUAGGAACUUCUUUGUGCACAGCUGAUUGUGUAAGAGAAUAGGUUCCUUCUAUUCUUCCUAGAGGCAACAGAAGCGUGCUAUUCUUUGUCCUCCAAAUCUCGUAAGAGAAUAAAUAGAAUAUAGGGCUAUUUCCUCCAUUAAUGGGUGUCUUUUUCCCCCUCGUGAUUGGGGUUCCGCACUUGCUUGUCUGAGACUUUAAUAAUGUUCGCACUCUCUUUUGUUUAGUGUAAAAUCCUGAUCCUAACUGACCCCAGAAUCAAAACCUUCUUGUUCUAAAGGCAUGGCUCUCUCGCAUCUUAUUCUACUACUUCUUUUGUAGAGGAAGUCCGUCUCGGUCUAACUUUGUUACCUUAGCCUGGAAAACAACCUAGUUUCCUAGGCCUCCUUAUAUCUUUUUCCUAGCUUCAGAAAAUGCCCGAAAAAGAAAAUCCCUCGUGGACCUAUAUCCAAGCCCAGAGAGUACUCUUCCUUCUGCCUUACACCUCCUAUGAACGAACCUGAUAGGGCCACAUACAAAAGGUUCUUUACCAAGCUUAAGAAUUGUGUUGUGCUUUCCAUCUCGACUCAUUCAUGCGGUCGACCUAUCAUUUCUGAGGGUAAAAUCCCCAGUCUUCCUACCCUACCUUGGUUAUCCACUUUCAUGCUACCACUGAGCGGACUUUCCUAUAAAGAAUAAGAUAGAUCUGGCCCUAUCGGAUUGGUCUUCACGGAGUCCUAUAAUUUUCAUUCUUUAUGUCCUGCAAAACUCAUCUUAGUAGCGGCUGGGAAGCCUUCGAUACAGGAAAUCGCUUGGAGCAUAUUUCAUCUAUGAACAGGUUCAUUACUAGCAUGGGGCACUGCCAAGGGCAUCUCCUUGAAGGAAAAGAAAAAGCGAAGCGUAUCCCCCCGAGGAUGGCUUUGAAGCGAUCGAAAGACCAUAGGAAACGAAAGAUUCUGUAGUGUGGUCACAAAGAGCUUAUUUUUGCUCUGUUCCCGAGGCAUGCUCUUAAAGAUAGGUGUCAGGCUAGCUUUCAUAAGCCAAUGUCUGGAGAUUAAUCUAUACAAAUUCUCACACGUAGUGGCACCCCAUUUCAUUGGUCUUGUUCUUGCACCAGGAGCCCUUGAAACUCUAUUAAAAACAAGUUUUUGACUAGGCUUUUGAACCACAAGUUAUUACAGAAUCUUGCUUGAACAUGAAUAUUGGCCCAGUAAGUAAGGCAACAUUUACGUCGAUCACAGAUGAUCUCACUCAAUCUUAUCAAUUCACCAAUUUCCUCAUUUCUUGCAUCUCUGACGAAAGACCUAGAAAGACAACUUCUAAAUGCAGCCUUUCUCUCCACUAGAUAUAAACCAUAGGUCAACCGAACCCAAGGUGCGUAGCGGGCGAAGGCCCUAAGAAAACUACUUAAAAAACAGGAACAGAGAGCCUUGCGAUAUUAAUCGCAGGUGUGCUUUUGGUCUUAGCCCUGAAUGAAUCGGCUGUUCCACUACCAAUGCAUGUAGUCCCGUAGUUGUCUAAGUUCAGAUAGAAUAAUCACUCGACUAAUAGGGAAAGUGAUUACAUACCUUGGCAGAAUAGUCAUUUCAUCCCAAGAACUAGAUCAAUGGCAGGGAACCCUAGGUAAGCAAAAAUUCCAAGAGAAGGACUACUUGCCUAAGCUCUCUCACUUGCUCUAUCCAAAGCGUCUAUCUCUAGCAAAAACUGUUAACUCUUUCAUUUCUACGACCAACCGAGAGUCCAUGUGCUAUGGCUCACACCCGGAAUAAGGUUUUUUUCUUGAUCUACUUUAGCCUUAUUGAGAUUUAAAGUACUUAUUGCAACUGUAACCGCGGUUACAGAAAGAAGAAACUUCUCUUUGACUGAAGCACUUGAACUUCACUUUCCAACUUGUUGGGAAUAGGGGCUUUCACUGGAACUGAAACUAUAUCUUCUGUUCAACUCGGCUUCCUUAACUUAAAGAUUUUGAGGGUUUGUAGGGCUUUCCACUCGCUCUACCCGAAAGGAACUAGAAGUAACCUUUUCUCUAAGCUAAGCCGCAAAGAAACUAGAACAAAGAAAGAACAAGGAUUUCAUCCGGAAGCAAAAGUGCUCUUUUCACGAAUUCUAGGCGAUUGUAGAGGGAUGGAUUAAGCAUUCCUUUGAACGCAAUGAGAAGAUCUAGGGUAGAAAGUAGCUACCCUGUAGCUCAAAGAAAGUCUUAUCCCGACCUGGGGUUGGCUGAUAGAUACGUGGCACCACAAGGUUGUCACACCAAAGUAUAGGAGGAGAGCGAGGUAUGCCAAGCUCAGAAAAGAGAGAUUGCAUCCAACAUAGUUCAGCUGUGGCUAUAGCAAGACCGCGGUAUUCGGGUUCAGUACUUUACUUCGAAAUGGUCUUUUGUUUCCUUGAGCUCCAGGAGACAAGAUUAGAACCCAUAUGGACACUGUACCCAUUAGUGCUGCGUAAGUCAUCUGGACAUCCAGCCCAAUCAGCAUUUGAAUAUGCACUAAGUUGAUGAAGUGAAUUUGGGCUUCUGUUAAGGCCAAAAGUGAUAGUAUGCUUGAGAUAUCGAAUAAUACGCUUGACAAAGUAGGAAUUCAACGAUUAGAGAUAUCCUUUCAUCGACUUUAUCCAAUACGAGAUACUACCAGAUGACUCGGACGAAAAGGUAAGUAUCCAAAGACGUGCUCCUGCGGUGUCUGUCGGACCAAGAUGCAGAGAAGGUCAUUUAAGAGAACGGGUAAAUCAGGUUAGUCAGCUAAGGCCCACUUUCACCUUAAAGAUCAAGGUCUGUGAAUGAAAUGUCCUCUACUCGGUAGUAGUAGGAACAAGAUGUAACUGAUUCAUCCGUACCAACGAGAAGAGAAGGGGGGCUUCACCAGAUCACUCUUAAUCCGCUGAUUAGGAAGAGAGAAAGGAAUAUGUUUUCUCUUUAAAUGAAGCGGAAGCUCGUUCCUGGCCUCUUUGGCAGUAGCAAAUCUGAAUUCGUAACCCACCAAUCUCUUUUUGGGCAGGAGUCGUCAGAUCUUGCCCAGGCAAAGGAGCGAUCGACACUCGCUCGCAAUUUUUAAGCGCAAGGACAAGUUGAUUCAGGAAGGGGAACAAGAGUAGCCUAGCCUGGUUCUUCUUUGUUUUCCUGAGCGGUAUGGUACGGCACGUGGGAAAUCACGAUCAGAGAGAAGUAACGAGAUGAGAAAUCCGUAGGAAAUAACGAAGUACAAGCGUGAAUUAUCUAUCUAUCUCUUUCCAUGUUGCGCCGCUCGCUCUACAUCAGUGCCAAAGGCUUGCGACUUGUCUGGAUCCAGAGGUGGAAGAAGGACCUCCAUCAUCUUUAUACCUGGAUCUUAUUCCUAUCCACAGCUAGUAACUGAGGGUUGCCUAGUUUCCCUCACCUGUCAAGUACCUGCUUCGGGGGAUACCAACUAAUAACUAAUAGCGGGAUUUCCACAAAUGGUAAGAGUAAACACCUCUAUAAUCAACGGAUUUGAGGACCUAGCCCUUAAAAAGGGAGUGAAACGUUACGUUCACUAACGCUUAUUAAUAGGGCUACGCUCGCUACAAUCCUCUUAUCUUAACAGGGGCUGAAAGAAUGCAAAAAGAACUGGGCAGUAGCGCCUUUCCCUCACUCUGAUCAGGAAGCCAUGUUAGAAAACACAUGUAUCCAACGGUGGUAGAAGGGAUUUGUCCAGGAGCUGGCGGAUGCUGGAGAUCCAUCAGAGUUGACAACAUUGGGAGUUUUUCCAUAUUUGGCAGCGUAGGCACGCUGAAACGAGUUAAGAAGCGAGUUACAUACCUGGGGUUCAAAACCAUUAAACCCCGACUGUUGUUGUUGGUAGUCUCCUCAGAUGGUAUUUCAACGGAGAAUCGGAUAGAGUGGAUGGACACCUAUGCUACCUUACCUGCCUUUACGGAAAUCGUUUCAAGAUAGGAAAGCCUUUCAAUCCGUUCUGUUGUUCAAAAAAAGCCUCGCAAUCAGCUAUUGAGUAUAUCUAAUAAUCUAUGGUACUAGCUUAGCCCUAGUAAGGCUCACUUUUUGUCUCGAAUAGUCUUUCCUUCGUUACAGGCACCAUAGGAAACUACAGGCACUACAGCAAGACGUUGAGGUAGGCGUAGAAGGUCAUCUCUGGUAUAAAAGGUAAUCCCUGGUUCUAGCUCAUUCGCAGGUGCUAGCCCAUUCGCUGUAGGGGAAAGGUCUUCUCCAAUGUUUCCAUCUGUCGUUACAGGACUGGAGUCUCCAAGUUAGUUUCUUCGAUAGGGGAAAGGCCUUCCCGGUUUCAAAGUAAGUCUUUCCUUUCUUUUUCUUUUGAAAGGGAAGUAAGUAAGGUCUUUUCGCUAUUGGUUCUCGCCAAGCAUUGGCGCAACUGCAGUCCCAUAGUGUGUUUCCUUCUCCAUAGUCAGAAGGCAUGUAUUCUCCAUAGCCAGAAAGAAGGCAUGUCUUCGUUAGCUUCGAUUGCAGCACCAGAAGCAGUCUCACAAAAUCGUACCAAAUGACCCAACAGUUCUUCUUUAUGGCAUCAUUGUUGGCUCUGAAACAGCAGUUCAAACUAUCCUUUUUAAGGCCUUCUAAGCCUUCCUAUUCGCUCUGGAACAACCCGCUUUUGGAUAGGCAUCGAUAGAUCCAAAUGGAACGACAAGAAUGGAUAUAGGUGAGAUGGCCGGCCCAAAGGUAGAUAGCGGCAGUUUGGCCCUAGUUUGGUCUGUUGGUUGCUAAGUAGCUUAUGGCUCUCCUCUUUUUCUUUAGAUUUAGAGGAGGAAGCCUCUGUUUGGAUCUCUUUUCCUGAUAUCCCCGUUAAUUCUUUUUCUGGGAAUGAGUUCGGGUUCUCAAUCUGAUGUUCACCAAAAUGGACGUUUAAGCAUAUUACUUUUUCGGUAAUUUCCCAUUGAUGAGCAUAAAAUAAACAUAUAUAAUAAUCUAAGGUGCUGAGUAUAGCUAAUAGCUAAAUAAUCUAAAGAUGCUAGAUCAAGCAAGAACCCCUUAGCGGAACUGACCUUUCUGUUAAUUGCAUAGGGGAAGCCCUACUGUCAGCUUUCAAUUGAAAAAAGAUAUGAGAAUCUCAGGUGCUAGCUGUAGGCAUUGGCGCCACCUCUGUCCCAGAGAAAGUAUCUACCCGUUCCGGAAGAAGGCAAGGCCAGAAGAGAAAGUAUAUGACUAUAAUGUGGGUUUAGGGUAUGCUAGCUAUCUCACUAUCGGUAACGGAAGGGCUUUCUCAAGUCUUUCUCUCGUUUCGGAAGCACUCUCCUCAUUCUUUCGUUAGGGCGACUGCUGCCCCCGUAUAGCGACUCUCUGCUGCUUUUACUUAGCUGUUUGCUCCUGCCUUUGUAUCUGCUAUGAGUAAAUCUACUCUGGGGUGAAACAACCACUACGAUUGCCUUUGACCAUACCUUUACCUAUGCCUAUAUGAAUAUCUUAAAGUUGCAGAUCCAAAGCGAGUAGUUGCUUCAGUAGAGCCGGUUGAUUCCGGCGAUUCUGUUGAUGAAGUAGUCAAUGAAGAAAGACAUGGUUGAGUCAGUCGAAGAAGCAAAUGCUCUCACCUUAGGGGAGCAUACACACCUACUGCGAAUUAGAGAGACCUGACCUACAUUCAUUAAUCAUCUCCUAGGAAUUUCCCUUCUCAAAGUAGGUCAAAAGAGCAAGCCGAGGAAAGGAAGACUCUCUCGAAAGGUGUCUGCUCGUGGAAUAGAAAGAGUUCGUUGCAUCAACAAAGUGUAGUAGUCAAAAACGCUUACUUAAGCUCAUCGAUGUGUACUCACUCCUCGGCUGUGAAAGAGAGGGCGCUUCUGAGCUAAAUCAAUCCCGCACAUGCGAUUACCCGGAACUUUACACUCAAUGGAAAGCAAAAAGGAAGAAAAAAUCCACUUUGAAAGCGAUUCCAGAGACUAUAAGAACGACCGAGUGGCAGGUGGGAGCAGUAGAAGCAUUGAGAUUUGCUUGUUCAGAGAUGCGUCAAAGGUAUACCUAUGAAAGUUGAUUGCAAGGGUCAGUCACCAAUGCAUUACUAAAGAAUAACCAACCAGAAUAACUUCUCAGGGAGCGUGGAAAGAAGGAGACCUAAAAGUGAUAUCUGUAGGCCGACCUUGGGAUUGAUACGCUUCGACUUAGCCUAUCAAGGCUAAUGCACUCUCUUGAUCCAAUGCUCAAUCUUUCGUUCAAAUGGCCGAUAAAUCUUCAAGCUGUUCCCAACAGAUCUUAUGAGACAAACCCUCGGUGAAGCACUGCAUCUUUCUAGCUUCAAAGAAAGAGAAAGACAACGAAGUGGAAUGAUUUCCCAAGCUUAGGACUUUGAUCAAUGGGCACGAGGCGCUAACAUGCAAAAAAGCCUCCUUUUUUUUAUACGAUAAACCAAUCAAGGGAAUGGAAGAGAGCAGCUAUGCUCAAGCAUCUUUGGCAUAUCUGCUUGGACAAGGACCAUUCGAUAUGGUCUAAUUGGGUUAGGGUCUACCUUAUCAAAGGUAGGGACUUCUGGGCGUUGAAGCCUUGAAGAAAGGGGCCGCUUGCUCAUGGUAGAAUAGUUAAGGUAGCGGGCAAUGGGAAUUCUCCUAACACUUUUGCUUGGAAGGGGUCUCCCUCUGGCUCCUUUUCCAUCAAAUCUGCUUGGGAUAGUCUCCGCCCCCGGGCUGCUUCUGUUUUCUUACAUAAGCUUGUUUGGCACAGGAAAGCUAUCCCUCGUCACGCUUUUAUCCUCUGGUUGGCUACCUUUUUUUUUCUUUCUUUUAGCUAUCUCAACUCUUCGACUUCGAAAAACGAGGAUUCUUUCUUCAGUGGAAGAGAAAGAAAACCCUCAAAACCAUCGACCCUUGCGUAGGAAAGAUGGGGACCGAUGCGCGGACGACCCGGAGAUAGAGCUCGGAAUCAGUAGAGCAGCAGAAGACCAACCCGCCAAAGACUGUCACCUGCUGAACCAACAUGUGAUAGGGAGAUCAUAGAGGUGAGUUAACAUGCUGGUUUUAGGCUCGCCCUUUAUUGAAUGAUUGGACUAGCUCGCAAAAGAGUUGAAAAGUGGAUGAAACAAAAAGAAAAUGGUUGGCAGUUAUAUGUUUAUUGGUUAGCCUCUUAAUCAUGUGUCCCUUUCCAUUUCAGUAUUCUCCAAUGAUUAUGAAAAGACCUCUAGCUAUAGAGCCAGGUAGUAGCUAUAUAUAGUCGUUGGCGAAAGGACAAAAAGAGGAAUAAAGGUUAAUUGCUUGCUUUCAAUCCAGGAAAUACUAAAAAAGGCUCCACCCACCUGCGUCCACCCCCCCAGGGAUUUAACCAGCAACAGCUUAUCCACUGUCGGGAAUGCCUACUAUGCCUGAUCGGAUCACAAGAGUCAUCGUAUAGAAUGUCGAUACCCUUACCUCCUCAUCAUCAGAUUCACCCACCCGUAAAAGGCUUUCUCAUUUUCAGGCUGGCUUCGGUCAGUUCACUUUGUGUUAAGUGUACCGAAUCUCUCAAAUUACAGUCUUGGAUCGAGAAAGCUCCACCCAUAGUGCCUUAUGCCGGUCCCCGGAGGCUAAGAUUGACUGCUUCAAAGAACCAGACCCGGUACACCAAGUCGGUAGCCUUUUCUUCCACUCUUGGGAUAAGGGGCAGAUUGCAUUUUUACUCUUUCCCGAUCGGAGUCCAGACGGACUUGAUUUCUUCUUUAUUGAAGUCAGGAUAUCCUGUCCUCACAAAUGCCUGGCCUGUUCCUUUGCGGUACCCCCUUCUAUCCCAUUCCUCUUCUUAUCGGUUGGGAAAACGGCUUUGGCAAAGACAUCAAGACCACACAGAUAGAAGUUGAACAGAACCUGGGUCAAAGGACCUGAAAGGGGAAGACCCUUUCUUGAAGCGCAUGAUGAAGCUGCCCCCCUUCCACAGAAAGACUUAAGAAGUAGGAUAUUAGCCUCAUAAUAGAGCCGCAGGAAACCACAGGGUCCAGCUCUUCCAGAAGAUCGUUGUGCCACAGAUCACAAAGGCAGGGAAAGAAAGGCAUUACCAGAAGGAAAGUAGUCCAACUCAAUGUCUUACGCAUUAGUGGCAUUUGAAUGAAAGCAGUAAGUUAGUGGCCAAGAAUCAUCGAUUUUGGAGUUACCGGCUCAAGGAAGCUCAUGAGAAUUUCUUUAAGUAAGAACGAUCCCCAGUGUCAUCCUCUUCGUCUUCUCGAAAGGAAGCGAGUGACGAGAGGGUAGCAAAGAGAGGACCACUCUUUAGUAAGAUAGCAGCCAGUGAAAGAGUAGAACUUAUUCUCUCCAUUCAGAGAGAGUAAAGCCCAUUCCUUCAUAUGCUUACAGUAGUAUAAGGAGUCCGUUCGUGCCAAGAAAAGAAGUCCAAUAGCUGCGCUUACAAUAGAUUUAAUGGCAUUUAUUCCUCUAAGCAUGCUACCAGUCCCAGCUACUGAAACUGACUCUAGAGAACUUGAAUAAGGUUCUCUUUCACUCUCGGCUGAGUCAACAAAAAUUUGUAUAACAGAGGGAACCUUUUCUAUUUUUUCUACCUUACUACUGUGAUUGAAUGACUGAGCUAUAGUCCUAGCUCAAUGUUGAAUUUUCUUCAACAUUCUGAUUUGAUUCAAAAAAAGAUUAUUGUAAAGAAUAAUGCCCAUACAAAGAGUUUUGCACAUAGAAGAGAUGAAUGCCAGUAUUGUAGUAGUUGAUUCUCUCUAUUAUUGUCCUAUCUUCCUCUAUAAAAAGUAGUACCGGCUUAAUCUAAGCAGGAAUUCCUUCUUUCACUAACAGUUCUUGAAGGGCUUCAAAAAAACCUAUACUCCCAUUUUCCUUUCUUUGAGAUUUCUUCUAGGAGGAAAAAGACUUUCACGCUUUAUGGUCUGAAUUCAACGGAUCUCAAACUCUCCUUUUUUGAGCUUCAAGCCUUGCAAGCUUUCAAAGUCUUGCAUUCAUUUCUGUCUCAUUUUCAGGUAGAGCGUACCUGGCCCCUAUAGGAACCCCAUGAUCUGAUGGGGGGGAAUUCCUAUGAAAGAGGCUCACUUGGAAGGAGCGAUAUCUAGCAAGUCUUCUGUGAGUGAAUGGUCUCAUCCAGUUCACGAGUCAAUCCUAUCAGCCGCUCGGCCUAAUACUUAAGGACUGAGUUUCCUUUCUUCCUUCCUCAGGUCAUGUGUAAUAGCUGGAGGGCAGAAUUCGUAUCUGUCUGUCUGCAGUCCGUAUGUAGGUAUGUCCAGCGGUCCAGCCAGUGUAGGCUACUCUUUUUCUGUUAGUCCAUCCAGUCGGUCAGUUGAUAGUUUGAUCGAGGUCAUGAAGGCUAAGGUACCUUCCUAAACUGAGAUUUCAAUCUCAAAAAUGUUUUCAAAGCCUUUUUUGCUUCAAGGAUGUCCCGUCUAGUAGGAGAAGUGGUCCAAAGCGAGAGUCUUUCGGGUCUAUACCCAUAGCAUAGUCGUUGCCCUUCUUUUGGUACAGUGUAGGAGUCCUGGGCGGAAUUGCCUUGUUGGUUGAGUUAUCUCCUUCUUAAGUUAAGGAUCGGGAAUGCUUCCGAAAAGAAAGCUAGAAUAAGAUGACGACCGCUCGUGCACCAUCAAUAAUGGUAUACACUUCACUACAUGAAAGAGAAAGCCGGUACUGGAUGCAAGAGAGCAGGGAAACUAAAGAAAGACAAAGAAAGGUAACUUAGCCCAUUAGAAGGCUAGCCUAAUAGUUUACAUCGCUCCUGCAGGAAAAAGAGGGACUUAAAAUGGUGAACCCACCUAAGACCAUACCGAAAUGGUGAUAGACCCAAAACCCCCUUUUACAAUAACUUAACAAAAAGAAAAUGCACCUUAGCCAUAGGCCAAUGGGGCGGACAACCUGGGCCCUCAACGCUAACUCAAGGAAAAGACUCGCUGAUGGUCCCAUAUCCAGAUUUCGGGACAUAGGUACACGCCUUCUUUAUCCUACGAGACUAACUACAUUUCCAAAAGUCAAAACCAAGAUUCAAAUUAAGUUUCUUAUUUCUUACCUUAAGAAAGGUAGGGCGUAGACCACAAAGAAAAGCAAAUUGAACUUCCACAUCAUUUCACAGAUUAGUCUCUUCCCACGGAGCGAGCUCCAUCAUAAUUUAAUUCUCUGCCGGGGUACACAAUUUGCCAAAAACAUUUUCCCCAAUGGCCAAUUUCUCUCAAAUGGUAGAAUCGCCGCCCUCCUAAACAAAGACUUUGUUGUCCUUAAGAGAGUUGAAGACUGAGGCGGCUUUGUAUAGUAAGGGUAAUAGCAGAAUAUAUGGCUGAGAUAUCAAACCUCAGAGAGUAAAUAUGUGGUCACCAACGUUAGAGGCUCUACAACUCUUACUGAACCGCCUCUACUACAGCUAUGAAAGGGGGAUAAAAAGAAAGAAAGAUUUUUUUUUGUAAGAGCAGAAUCUCUCCAUAGUAGUCUCUCUUAAAAGAUCUUAAACACGAAGUGAAAUGGAGUGAAGAAUAGCCAGCCGGCUGAAAGUAUAGCUGUGGAUUGAUCUCCUUUACCCGCCCAUACAAAAAAGAGGAAGUCAUUGUCUUCAUACUAUUAGUGGAAGUCAUAGCUAUUGAUCAUACGCGGUGACGUUAUUUUAGCCCGGAGAGAGAAAUCUAUCUUUACUAUCACUCGCAAAUAAAUGCCUAAAGGAUUUAAAAAGCUUGCAUGGAACUCCAAGACCCCCUUGCUGGAGAUAGGGACCAUGCUUGAUGGACAUAUGAAAUAUUUCCAUACGGGGGCUUUCUCUCAACAGUGGAUUUCACUCCCUACAAGCAUGACUUAACACGUCUUAAAGAGAGUCUCACUGUCUCCGCCGUUGGGAAGAUUGACAUAAAAAGAGUAGUUCGCUAGAUUCACCAGCUAUUUAACCACUUUAGCCAGCUAUACGAAAGAGACUUUUGCACUCAAUUGGACCACUCAUAGCUUGGGUUGCCAGAAUUCGCAACUAUAUAAAAAGUAAAAUACUGAUCUACUCUCAUGCUUCACCUACGACUCUGACUGAUGAUGGGAUUACUUACUGAUCUACGACUACAGUUCUUGCUUCGUCCCUACUGAUGCCGGCACCUACUUGAUUAAAAGAAUCUUCGUCGAUGUCUUCAUCGAGUCGAGUGACGUUCAUCAUUACUAAUUAUCGAAUAGCCUAGUUAGUUUUCUCGUUCCACCUAUCCGUGCCACCUAUCUUCGCCUUUCAUCUAUCAUAGUGGCAUUUGAUGUCGGACGUGAUGUCUUCGACCCCGAAACAAGAAUAGGGGCAUGUGAUUGAUUCCUUCCUUUACUUUUGAAUCCCGCUACUUGUCUUGUUAUAGGCUACUUCAUUUUUUGGAAUUUGAUUGUAGGUAGAUUGAAUGAUUGAUGCAACCCUCUCAUUUGUCGAUGCUUUUCCAGUGCCUUUUCCUUUUUGGAUGAGCUAGUUACUGAACUUUGCAACUUGUUUUAUUUUAGCAGUGGAGGUAGAAGAAUGGAAGUGUAAUCUCAUCCAUCCGUUGACCGGCUAUUCGGUAGAAGAGCGGAUUCCAUGUUACUAUACCUAUACUUUAUUUAUCUAUUCUAGGCGUAUAAGUGCAGUGUCGGAUGAAAGCACCUUUGCUGUCUGACUAGACUGGUAGAACAAAUAGACUUUCAUCUUGAAGGCAAGGCGCAAUUCAAUCUCCUCCGCUCGAUAGGACUCUCUUUGCAUUCCCUUUCUCGCUCAUCUUUCUCUGGCUCAUAUCAUGCUCAUCUCAUUCGCUUUGUCUCAUUGCCUCAUUUGCUCUUUUAUUAGCAACUUUACUAUAUUAUUUGUAGGUACGGGUGAUGUGAGGCUUUUACCUUUCGCUCUCGACUGAUAGAACCUUUUCGAAGAGACUUAUUCCUGCACGCGGGUAGGAGACACGGCCCUCUUUCUUCUACCGGGAUUGAUAGGGCAAGAUACCAAUACAACCAAUAUCUCUCAAUAGGAGCCUUUCCACAAGAUUAAGAUUUCUAUUUCUUUCUGCAGCUUCUAGAGCGGACGUCGUGUCGUGCCCCUUUUAAAAAACUACUACCGCUCGCCCGAGCUCUUUUCGGGCUUAGCUCCCAAACUCCUGGCUAUCCUACCGAGUCCGGGGGUUGCACCCCCACCCCCCGAGCCCCCGGUACGCCCCAACUCCUUACCUGAGACCAGACCGAACGUCAGAGUCUUGUUUUCUCUUCCCCGAGCUGAGGGAACUCUCAAGAGAAUAGGCAUGAAGGGCAUAGUAGCAGUACAUCUUCUUGAACAACUUAAAAGUCUCUGACAAAGGGGCUUGUUGUUUGUCUGGUACAGCCUAUCUUCAUAGAUUAGAUGGACAGUUCCAUUGAGAAGAAUCUUUCAUUUGAACCUCAAAUCUAGAAGAGUUCGGCAAAGACUGCCAUAAAAAGGCUUCCAAUGGGGCUAGGAACAAAACAAGAGAAACAACAAACGCGCCUUCAAGGCAACCCCGCUACCUCCGAGACAGGCAUCCCUCCUACCCCGAUUGUCUUGCUUUUAGGACCCUUCGGAGGUGACCCUGGAUAUCCCUUACUUUGAGGUAACCACGAAACGAGGGAACCCCGUUCACUCCGAUAAGAAAGGUGUCAAGUCUGAAAGCCAAGCCUGGGCAAGAAGAGGGCUCACUACAUUCCAAAAAGGAAUGGUUGGUAUGCGGUCCAUCCUUAAAAAUACCCAAGGAAUCCCCCUUUUUUGUGAGUGUUCCAAAGCGUGCUUCCGUUUCUUGUUCUUCGAGCUCAACCGAUCAUGCUUCUUUCUCAGUUGCGCGAUUCCUAGCUGCUAGAUCCUAGAUCGGAGGAUGUAGGUGAGUCUGAUUGUUCUGACUUCUACUGUUAUAAGUUGCCUUAAGGCGCCUUCCAGUUCCAGCCCAAUAGGGGCACUUUCUGGUGAGGAAGAUCCCAUUUAGAAGAAGGGAGAACUACCUAAGUAUCCUUUCACCUUGAGCUAGGGUCAAAGAUUAGUCCAAGCUAGGAUCAGCUCUCGAAAGUCAAACUUCUCCUCUUUAACCGGUUGGAAAGUCAAGUAAGGAAAGGUCUGUUCAUUUGUCCAGAAAUCCGUUUUCGGCCUAUACUAUAUAUCAAUUGAACCAGGGGCUGGGCUUAUGUUGUGUUGACAGACAUAAGAAGUAGGAUUAAGAAUAGGGGAAGAGCAGCUCUACUUCUACUUCUGCCUUGAGGGUGAGCCCUUAUGGCUUGUUCCAUUGAUAGAUUAGUUCGAGAUCCGGCGGAUUAGCUUCCUUGUCUUAGUUCUGGAAGAGAGAGUCGAGGGUAGCUUGCGAUCCAAAGAGCUAGUAGAGCCUCUUAACUUUGAGUUAGAGUUGCUUUAGUGGAACAGAAUGUCAAGGCUUCUUCUUAUUGCUUUCCUUGAAGGACUUUCUCCCAUCUCUGAAUCGGUUACCCCCAGACGAGCCCACUUGAUUUAAAAAUGAGUUAAACCCUGACGCCUCUGGCCCGCGUCGGAGAUGAUGCUUGACUUUCUAUUCGGGCAUUUACUGGUCGAGUAAGUUUUUUAUAUCUUUUAGGCAGGUUUGUUUUGAUCCGGGUAAGAUUCUCGCUUGCGGCUUUCUUACUACUGGUAUGACUGUCUGGUUAGCCAUCUGGUAAGUAAGCUUUUCGCUUUACUCGUUAACCUGGUUUAGCCAACUCCCAACCUUCCACUGACUCGCAGUGACGCGGGCGCUUCUUCUAUAGCUCUGGACCCCACCGAUAAGCUUACGAUGGUACCCUUUAGUUAAGUAUUAUCUUGUUUAUUGGGUUCAAAAUGAACUGAGUUAAGUACCGAUCAAAAGAAGCAUUAUCCAUAAGCAGUUGCUGGGAAGAGAUUUAUAUGAGCACCGAUUGAAACGAAAAUAUCAACGAUCGCCUCAAAACGAACCACCAUUCUAGUUUGGUGGAACCACCAAGGCCUGAAUAUGCGUUUUACUUGCGAAAGGCCUCAGCUACUACAAUGACAGGGCCAAGAAAUUGGGCCGAAAUAGCAGCUCUUUCGAAGGAAGACGCUCCUAUUUCAUUGACAAGAUCAUGAUUAGACUCUUGCGGAGGAGUGGAGGAAGGAGGCGGAUCAGUUGGAAUUUGGGCUAGCCGACCGGGAGGUUCAAUUCCUCCCCGAUUCCUAUUUUAUCUAUCUUCCCUUGAAAGAAAGGAGAAAUCUCAUAAAAGUUUUCACUCAGAUCUUGUGGAGAAGAAGAAGCCAGUUCAUUUCGGACCCCGGUGGAUGCCUCAGAAGCGGAACUAUUGGAAUGAGCACGAGUAGCCGAAUUACUAGUUUCAUACGUGAGAUCAGAGAUAGAAUUAGAAACUUUGAUUUCCAGAAACUCACCUUGUUCCAUAGUUCAUGGGUCAAGGUUCGACCCAUACUUAUUAAUGUCUACGAUUGAGUGGCAUUUGUAUUUUUUCCUCUGCAAUUCCCUAGAGACAGAAAGAGAGUCCUUUACUGUACAACUAGUGAAGAACUAAACGAGAGCUAUGGUUAACCAACAUAAAGCAUGGGAAAAGGUUCUUUUUCAUUACAAUGCAAGAUGCACUUUGAGGAGCACAACACCAUGGAGUCCCCGAAACAGCUAUUCCCUUUCUCUAUUACUUACGCUAUUCUUCUGGUCAAGCAAGUAUGAUAGAGAUGGCGAGAAAGAUCAAGGGUUGAGAUGAGAAAAAAGGAUCACUCCUAAAAGCAGCCUUGAUCUUCUUAUACGAUACCACCCCUUGCUUCCGCCAAUCAACUUCUACCGAGCAUUGACCCGCGAAUGAUUGAUUUCAACUCUACUCUACUAUAGGACACCAUAACGAUGACUAUAUGAAAUAGAGAAAGGGUCCUUUCUUUCCUUGAGUUAUUGGAGUAGUUAGUAAGGGAUCGCCUUAAUCAAAUAAUGUAUUGCGCUAUCUUCCAUUUUCUGUAUUCCCUUAAUGGAAAAAGAGUAAAUAAAGUGGUAGAUGUCCUUCUGCUGCUGCCUAAGUUUCUGUGGUGCCAGUCGACAGAAUCGUGCUUUCGGGGUUCCAUCCUUUUAUAUAUUGAAUACCGUCCGCUAAUGGGCAUCGGUUGGUGAAGGCCUCUCCGUUCCUUCCUCUUCUGUCUGGUAAUAAGGUUUCACCCCGAAACUGAGAAUAAAAGGAUUUCUCGUGAGCAAAUCAACUCAUUGGAGAACUUGUUAUAGGCGCAAUCUGUGGACCAGAACCCUGAAGUCGACCAAUACCUUAACUCAAAAUGAAUUUUUUAACCUUUCUUCUCAGCCCUUGAAUUCAAUCCCUCAAAUAGAGUGAUCGGGAGUAAGAAGGAAUUGAAUCGAUUAACUGAGGAAGAAAAGGUCGUUCUACCAUCCCGCAAGAAAUAUCAUAAGAGAAGUUCAGUCUCAAAGAAAGUAUUAGUUGUUUACUCACCCGUAAAGUAGGAAUAUCAAGAAUAGGAGUCAGUUUUCAAGGAAAGGAGAAGUUCAGUAGUCCAUCCAGUCCAUCCAGAUCAAUAGAGUGGGGAAGAUAAAGAGAUAUGAUAGGCAUUGAAUGGAUUAGAAAAGCUUUCAUGGGCUAUCUCAUUCGUCAGGGUGUUCCUCGAUCAAUGGUUCUCUAUCUUUGAUUUUCUUGAUGAGUGGUUAAAGGGUGAUCGCCAUGUCAUGAGGCAGGAGUGAUAGAAGGGGGCAAUAGGUAUUGCACCCGAUAGAGCGGUAUUGGUCUCCUCGGCUUGAUGUGAGGAGUUGAUGGUUCCCCCUUCUGUGGUUUAGGGGUUCACGUGAGCUUAUAAACCAAUUGAAUGGCUAAAGUGGCUAUAGUAACACGCUUCUUUUAUGGUCUUUGACGGGUAUGAUACUCUUCUUACUCUUAUAGUACUUCUGAUAGCGAUAAUAGCCUCUUUUUUGGCUUUAUAGCUCCUCGUACUCUAACUGUAAUGUUAAGGGAGUGAGGGGACCAUUUGAUUAUGGCACCCGAUGGAGUGUAGUUGUCUAUUCCUCUGCCUUUCUACUAUCUUUAGUUAAGAAAAGUAUCUACUGUCAUAAUAGAUUGCACGAGAAGUGAGUUAACUGCCAUUAUCGGAAGUAGGUAGUUGAUAGUUGAGCCUUUCCUCCCUUAAGAAUCCUCCCUGUCAGUCUUUUACUUACCAGUCGAGCUGUUUUCUCCUCUUUCCCGAUUUAACGCGUCGUUGAGGAGAUGAGAUUACGAGGUGAAGGAGCGAGAACUUACCCCAAUUGGUAAUGAUAGAAAUCAGACUUAUCAAUAAUGGCAGGUGGGAUUGAUGCCAAUUCUUCUUAGGUUCUUUCUGAUGUGCCAUCCAUUCCUUUUCUUGUUGAUCAGCAAUAGACAGAUGAUUCUAUUCCAUCUUCUACACCGGGUUCUCCUGCUCAGCAGCCUCCUGCACCUGAGUAUCAAAGAAAAGAAGGAAAAAGGCAUUAGCCAAUCCCAGGAACGGAGCAUAGAAGGUAUGAGUUCGACACCUGGUUAUCCCAUAGCUUUAUGGCUUAGAAGAGUCGCUGGCAUUGGCUCUUUGCUUUAGGAUAGAAGCAGGGGAACCAAACCUCCAGUAUGAAUAGAGACUUCUUAGGUCUUCAGGAAAUCGAAUAGACUUCUCUUCUCAAAGAAUGGAUACUUCCUUCCUUUUGACUUCCUUAACUAGCUCAUAAUAGACCUAAGGAGAAGUGAUGUUACGAAAGGGAAAGCAGGAGCGGUAGAAGUCCAAGUAAAUGGAGUUGUUGCUCCGAACUUACUUUUUCAGAAAGACGGAACUCGAGUCAAGAAAGAACUCUGAGUUAACAAAGCAAAGAAAGAGACUGAAAAUUCCAUUCAGGAUAUAAAAAGUGGAUUCGCUUUCGUUAACAGAGAUCUUGAUAGAUCAAAUCAUAGCUAUGUAAAGUACCUUGAGGUGAGACGUGACCUAUUCUCCUCGUCCUCGUUUUCAUUGGGUCACUCACACUGAAACAUGCGCAAAGGAAUGAAUCGCUUAGAGCCCCGGGCCCUUUAAACUAAAAAGAAGUACAAGUGGGACGGACUAGCUAAUAGUCCAAUUCUCGAUGGUCGAGAAAGAAGUAAUUACGCAGGGAAUUCCACAGCUGAUUAACUCCUCAAGGCAGGUAAGAGUCAAUCCCACUUGGGAGUUUCGGACGUGCCCACAGCUGAUCAAUGCAUGAGGUCUUGUCAUAGCCUGGAGAUGGGGAAGAUGACUACAAGCGGUUGGGACCUAGCCCAACGGUGAACGAAGCAUAAUCAAUUGAAGCAUCCGGGUAGCCCCCUCCAAAGAGUACCACGAGCAGGAGCUUCGGAAGCACGCCUGUCAAAGGACAAGGGGCUUACACCUAUCGUAGAGGUUAAGUGGGAGGUCUAGGGUUCAAACCCCAUAAGAGGACUACCACUUUAUUAACCUGGGCGAAUAAAAAGCCUGUGGCUUUGGGAAUGAAAUUCAUUUCGAUGAGACUUUCAAAGUCACACUUUGACACGAAAGAACCGAGACAGCCUUCACUUCAGGCGGAGAAUAUAGAUAGGUGGCCAAGCGCUGCUUUCAUUCAAGCUAUGCAGGUAAAGAUCCUAAAAGGACUUUAUCAUCAAUAGCCACUUUAGUUAGACACGUGUAGGGAACUAGAAAAAGAGACAACUUUUUAGCUGCAACUGACCACCACCCAAAGAAAAAAGGCAAGAUUGGAUGCUUCGCAAAGAGCCCUUUAAGAGGCUCGGGUAAUGUGGCUUAGAGGUUGCACGCCUAGGAGAAAUAUGGAAGAGGGCCAGAGGAUCAGAAAUGAGCGGAGUAGGAGCUUAUUAUUAGUGCUCAAAAAGCCAUUCGAGCUAGUCUUUCAACUAGGCUAGGCGAAAAAAGCAAGAAUGUCUCGUCGACUUAAUAACCGGGCAUCGACCUCUUUGACUUAAUAAAAUUGGAGUCCCGAGAUGAGAUGACGCAUUUUCUAUAUUCACCCGGUAAUAAAGAAUAUUCCUUAUCCUAAUACGCCUAGGUCUAUUGCUAUUUCACCGGAAAAAGUCGAUAUCGAUAGCCCUACUCUUUGCCCGGUUUGCCUUCCUAUCCUCUUUUCCGAAGUUGGCUAAGCAACUCAGUCCUCACCCGAAAGAGAAGAUGGUCCCACCUCAACUGGUGUAACUGACCUACUUACUAUUCAUAUAUCCCAUCCCAUCCGGGAUUCCCUUGGUUGGUAUAUCGUAUAGAAGGCGUCUCUAGACCCUAGCUAUUCCGCCCUAUCAAAGCCCUCUCGGGCAAGGGGGGAUGGACGGACAACAAUCCCUGAGGGAAAGGUAGAAGCAUAAGUACUUAGACUAGAUGUCCUUAUCAUCACUCUUUUUCUCACGCCCGCCCUGGCGCAUUUCUGUACUCAGUCUCGAGGCCUUAAACAAGGGAUUUACCCUAAAUCAAUAAGAGAAAAGAUCUCUUUUCUCCGCCCCACUGCCAAAUGAAUGUGUUCUUCCAAUGGCCAUUUCCAGUCCUUUUUAGGCCAGUUAAGAAGUUCAGGGGCUAAGCGGUGAAUUAGCUUUUAAGCUUAAGAGAAUGCCCAGGAGAAGGCCCUUAAGUAGCAGUCUCAUAGCCUUUUUGGCUUAGUGUGUGAGAUGCCUGUCUUAACUUUUGUUUUGAGAGUCUCCUUUCUCCGGGUCAACUGCAAAAGUAGUGGUGAAAACCUUAGUAUUAGGGUAUUAGGUAUGUGGUAUUAGUCUUAGUAGAGGCUUUCCCCCUGUUUGGAACCCUAUUUUGCGGGGCUAAAGCCCUUUUUGAAUAUUCAUAGAGUAUAUACUCAAUUCUGAAAGAUAGGUUUGGAAAUCCACUGAAAGGUAACUCUUCCUAGUUUUCUUUCCUAUCCAACGGAAAACUGCUUUCACUGCGACUUUGUAGCUCCGAAGAGAAGGAAGUAGCUUGACUUUCACGACUAUCAGGGCACCUACUGAACUAGAUCCAACUCAAAAGAAAGCUCCAACUCUAUCUAGUGAAGGUAGUAUGAGGCAGAGCCAAGACUAAGAGAGGAGGAUUUGAAAAAGAAGCAAAUAUGGCAUACGAGUUUAACUAACAUGGGAGUUUAUUUCCCACUUUCUAGGUAAGAUAGAGCGGAAAAUAGACAGGUUUGUACCGUAUAAUCAAAAGCAGUAAAAUUAUAGUACCAUGUGCUGAUCAGUCACUAGUGAAGAAGCCUUUCGCUGUCAGAUCACAGGAAUUAGCACCUAGAAAGGGAAGGACUUAUACCAUGAACGGACUCUUUACCUUGGGUCAAUCAAUUCCUUGGCUUACUAAUGACCACUUCGAGAAGAACCUUUUUGAAAACAGUCUAAUGCCAUAUCUUACUUAACAGCUCCUUCUUCCUUUUCUUCGUUCCUUCUGUAAAGGCAAGGGAAGCAGAAGACUCACAAGUAUUCUCAUACGUGAAGGGUUCAAAACGUCAUUUUCUAUAAGCAGACUUUGAGACUAUACGAACAAGAACUAGAUCACACCCGGCACAAGGAGCGAGACAAGCACUAAUGGCACUUUCCUGAGUGGAAGUGGAAGAAUGGAAGGAAGUGAAAGCACCCCUUCAAACGAUACCUUCUCCUAGGCACGAGGCAACUAGACUCUCUUUGAUGACCUAUUCUACGCAUGAACUCUACUCCCACUUGAAGAGGCAGUAGGAGAUAGAUCCAUUCCUUCCACUUCGUUAAGAUUUGGUCUUUUUGUCUAGCAGAAGUUUAUGAACACAGUUCGAAUACAAGAGAAACAACUAUACCGGUAGGAACAAUGGGAUAUCUUGCACCUGAGUAUGUUUAUUCGGGUAUUCCCACCGAGAAGACAGAUGUUUACAGCUUUGGUGUGGUAGUGUUAGAGGUGGCAACGGGGAGAAGGCCUAAGCAUAAACCUCUUCAAGCUUGCCUUCCCGAAGUCUCCAUACAAAAGCUUUAGUUCUUUCUUUUCUUUGUUCCUUAGGAUGUCUUACCCUAGGGAAUAGCCUUUAUUAGUUAGAUUGAUCCUAUCUGCUUCUUAGCUUAGUUAGCUUAGUCGAAAGCUAGAGAUUGAUUGCCUUUCACUUGAAGUAAAGCAAGUUUCCUCGGUCAAGCUUAUCCCCCCUUUCCCGCAUUAAAGAAGUGAAUAGACGAGGGGUAAUUGGCUUAGCUGGUAAAGAGGUAGACGGAGAGGACUGAGUUUAGAAAGAACUCUUUUCAUCCAACUCAAAAUUUCUUAAGAGAACAAGUGAGAAAUUGGAUCGAGAAAGCACCGCCCACUCUCUUCCUUCGACGAUCCACUGGUCCUGAUUCCCCAAAAAACUAACGAUUUUCCAUUUCUUUUGGAUGACUACUCCUACCCUGCGGCGAUCUCUCUUUAAUCCCCGCAAGGGCUACCAUUCAAGGGAGACGGAUUACUUCCUUUCUUUCUGAAAUCUCCACCCUAGGUAAGAUCCCCUUUAAGGCCCCACACCAAAAUUUGAUCAAACCCCUGUGUCUUGAUUCAAGGCUCGGAUCCUCUCUUUAUGUAGAAGGAAUUCAUCCCAAAGUGAGGACCCAAGCUGGGAAGGUGCUACAUAUUGUAGUGUAAGCACAAAGAGAGGUCUUCAAUCUUACCUGUGGGAUGGUAGCUUUACUUCUUUACUCUCUCUAUUCUAGUUGAGUAAGGAAGUCCUCAUAGCAACUAGUUUGUGAAUGCCUAAAUCGCUCUUUUAUAAUUCAUUAAAAAGACAGGGUUUUGAUUAAACUAGCUCACUUAUGCCAGUUUCUGCGUUCCCGAGAGGUUCCAUAAACGUUCUUUCUCUUUUUGUACCUGGCGAGGUACUUGCUAGCUCAAUCCGUUGCUUCUUGUUUUCUUCAUUUAGCUGCUAAGAGUAGAUUAAGCACUAAAGUCCUUACUCAACUCUUAGCUAGUUAAGGAAUGUAGCUUUAAGCAAGCGAGAAAAUGGAUGCGCUAACUGUUGCUUUCUUCGCUCCUUCGAUUAGCUAUAGGACAGGCAGGGAUUCUUUAUCUUCCCUCUCUUCGUCCUCGCUUGCCUUUAGCUCUAGCUGCCUUGUCUUAGCUAGCCCUUUUGGACUAGCUUUCCUUGCCUUGCGCUGAACGGACCUGAAACGUCCACCACCCUCCUUUUUAUCUCCAUUUCGCUUGAUCACCUUGUACUGAAUAUGGUAUAGCGUGGAGCGCAUACCUUAGCUUAGAUCGAUCCCAUUCCCUGUGAUCCCUUAUCGCGUUGAGCCUUGAGCCCAUACCGAUUAGGUAGAGCAUUGAGCACUGAUCUCGAGUGAACUGAACUGAUGCCAAGGGAACUGAUCCCCUGUUAACUUUGAAACCUGUAGAGUAUCCAAAACUUUUGGACGUGUCCCGUCCGAGCCAAAGAGCUGACUCCCUCCAAAGAGUCCCGACAAAUGAUGAGUGAGACGAGAUGAAGCAUGAAGAAACCAUGAAACACUUGGUUUCCACUGGGGUUGUAGAUGGAGCGAGCCGACCUGUUAUGAAAGAGAAGGGAUAAAUAGUCAGAAAAGAGCUCCAGUAUAAAAAUAUUUGUUCGUGCAUAAACCAAACCAUUUGUAUACCACCCCCUGAAUAGGACUUCGGCAGUGAUAAGAUCUUGUCAUGGGAGGAAAGGGUAGAAAGAAUAAGAUAGUAAAGAACCCUUUUUUUUGUGCUAGUAGCUUAUGAGUCAGAUGCCUCUUCUCUCUGGUCCAUAGCUAGCAACUCAUCGUACCAAGCGCGGCAGCCUCACCCCCUCAGGAACGGAAUCCUACCCUUUGGAUAUGUUAGCCAAACAGCCCGGAUGGGACGAGACUAGUCCGGUCAACAGAUACUAAAUGAUACCUCGCCUUCAGUACUAUCAGUACUCCGGCUAGUCACUUUGGAUCCCCAUAAGUACUGCCUUCUCUCCUUCACUCGGUAGGGCACGGGCAUUAGCCUUAAUAAAGUACGUUUUCGUUUUCACGAGUAGAAAUACGAUUGAUUGAAGCAGGCAACGAAGGGGACGAAGUAGCAGCAACUUUAUAUGAUAUUGGGCGGAUUUCCAAGACCCCUUUUCUAACAUAGUUGGGGAUUCGGCCUGGUUCCAUAGAGGGAAGAAUGGCAGGGGCCCUGUCGUACGAAGGGGACUGAGAGUGCACUUUGCGAAGCUUCUUUUAGAUAAAAAAGAAGCCGGAUUGUGGAGCUGUGAAGCGACAAAGUAGACUUCUUGUUUAUUCUACUUACAGUGCCUCUCUCGAAAGAGAACAAGUAUAAUAUUCCAGCCCCAGUUCUCAGGAAUUCCAUUUCGAUCUAAACCCGACAACCUUCUUUAUGAACUUAACUUGUAGCGGAGAUAGAAGGUAUAAACCAGAAUCUAUUUUCUUUUUUCAUUGGAAUGGAACCGCGUGAAUAAGGUACCGUUCAAACCAAGUUCCUAGCCGAGCUUCGCUUGAGGGAGGACAACUACUUCUAUUGUAUUGGCUCUAAAUCUAAAUGGAACACCUGAUUUAAGAAGUAGAAAAAGGAAUGUAAAAUAUGGUAAGGCAAUAUAACCUUAUUUUACUAUUAGUCCGGUCGAUACAGGAGAUCCAUAAGAUCCACAAACAAAAGGGACUUGGAGUGGAUUCCUCUCUUCUUCCUUCCGUACUUGUACUAUACUUUACUUUUUUUAUACUAGUAAACUAUCAUCACAAGCCAAACUAGCAACAACUAGAUAGGGUACACGCUCAGUCACUAUAUCUUGAAAUCCUAUUUCGGUGAACUCUGUCAUUGUGGGAUAUUCGGAUUCCCAACCUACCAGUGAACCACCAGAAAAGUCAUUAAGUCCCGAAACCCGCCAUUACUCAACUCUCCUUCUUGGAUACCCUUCAAUUUGACCGGGAAGCCGGCCUCUUGCAAUAGUUGGUCCAGUCUCCGGCUCCAGCUUAUGCGCUACCUAGGUGAUCCCCUCUUCCAAAACAAGUUCCGCCUGUGUUAACAUUUUUUUAAAGCAAAAGAGGUAUUUCAUGGUUUUUAGUGUAUAGAAUCAAAGAAGCUUUCUCGACUUGGAGAUGACCUUCUAUAAAAAAAAAAGGACUACUUUAGAAGAAAGCCCCUUUUCAUCUUUCGACUUGGCUAAAAGAGCAAUUAAAGGUAGGUUGCUUCCUUCUUAUGGCUUGCGCUAAGAGCGCUCCAUAGAUUUAGCUUUAAAUGCUCCCUUUCUUUGCAAGUUUUAAUUCAUUGGGAAGCUAAGGGCUCAGAGAGGCUGAAAGCUCAUAGAAGCCCCACAAGUGCGAUGGACCGCAGGUUUAAUCAUUCUUUGAUUCUUUUCUUUAAAUAGUGACUCCUUUACUCUAAUACUGUACUUAUGGCGCAAUCAGUGUUGCGAUAUCUGUCUGAAAUAGUUCGAUUCCCUCUUAUCAGUGUCUUGAUGUCAAACAGCUAGUGGAAGCGCUUGAAACACCAACUGGUGUCAGUAUGGAUACGUAAGGCUGCGAUCCUAAAUCAGUGGAUGUUCCUCUCUUUCCUGGGAGUAUAAGAAUCAAAUGGGUCUAAACCCGGUCAAGGAAACCGGUGUGCUUGUUAUUUGCUUAACACAUGGAUUUCGAAUGCCUUUAGGGUUUUAGGGUUAGGGGUGGAAAAUGAGAGCAGGCAGACAGCGCCCUUGCUACUAGCAUUCAAAAGACAGAGGAUUCUCGUGCAAACUCUUGUAUGCAAAGAGUGAGAUUCAUGGUUCUUGUUCUUACUAAUUUAUAUAGAUGAGGCAGCUGUACCUGCUUAUUCUAGAUCUACUAAAGCAGGUAAUUAGAGUAAGAAAGAUCUCCUUUUAGAUCUUGAUACUCUAAUUAAUUGGAAAGUCUUAUCCUCAUCUGUGGAAACACCACACCGGUGGAGAAGUUCUCUUUAUAUCUAUCAUUGAGGGAUUUCUAGACACCAAAUGGAUCAAAGAACUAAUUCUUUUUGGUCUGACUCCCUGGUUUCCAUCUUUUGCCCAGAGCUAAAAUGAGUUAUACGGCCGGUAGCAAUAACCCCUUUUUCAACCAUCUGACGUGGGGGGAUAUCUCUAAACACCCUACCUAGCGUGUUGGAAGGACGUACUCUAGUUGGUUUCCAACGCAUCUCAUUUUCCCAGAAAAAAGCCAGAUAAGAGGGGACUUGGGAACUGAACGAUGUUAGCGCAAGGGGCUAAAAUGAAAAGGCAGGUAGCAUUCGAUAAGCAGGCAGGUUUGGGAAACUAGUACCAGGUACUAGGUCGAUGGCAUGCUGAAUACUCCUCAUCGGUGGUAAACCAUGGGAAGAGCAUCACCAACCAACUCCUUCAAAUCUUUUAAGAGUUUCUGAAUGAAGAAAAAUGUCGAGAGAAUAGUUUAAUGCCAGCGAAUAGCGUAGGAAGUAACCAAGUGUGAAUGGUGGAAAGCUAGCAAGGGAAAAAGCAUUAGUUUCGACGAAGCGAUUCUUUACCCCUUAAGCGUAAGAGAAAAGUACUUUAAAGCAAGGUCGGCUAGCGAACCCCGCUACUCCUUUGUCUUGGAGGAAGGGAAGGCUAGUACCGAAGACAGGGGGAAAGUCGAAGAAAGAUAGGAAGGCGAACUUCUUGAAAACGGAAAUGCUGGAGAAGACAGACGAUGGCUAGCUUUUGGGCUGUCUUUCCUACUACCUGUGCUAAUCCUAUAUACAAAAAAGAAACUUUAUAAACUGGGCUAUUGUUAUAGGAUGUCUCUGUAAAGUGGAAUUCAUCCUUUGUUUUUUCCUUUCCAUUCACUCGGAUCUCUUCUGUUUCAUAGAUUUUGUCCGGAUCCUCCUUUUCUUCCGAAAAAAGGGAAGGAGAAGGAUCUCCACCGGUGGAUCCCUCUUGUUCCUGUUUAGCCCCCUUCAUUUCAGAAGCUGUUUCUAUUUCUACAUCUGUUUGUUCCUCACUUUCCCCCCUUUCUUCCGUUGUUGGGGUUUCUUUCAGUUUCUUAGUAAUAAUGUCACUUUCCCCCCUUUCUUCCGUUGUUGGGGUUUCUAUUUCUACAUCUGUUUCUUCCUCACUUUCCCCCCUUUCUUCCGUUGUUGGGGUUUCUAUUUCUACAUCUGUUUCUUCCUCACUUUCCCCCCUUUCUUCCGUUGUUGGGGUUUCUAUUUCUACAUCUGUUUCUUCCUCACUUUCCCCCCUUUCUUCCGUUGUUGGGGUUUCUUUCAGUUUCUUAGUAAUAAUGGGUGACGGUAUUCUGCCUAAAUAGUAGACACAGGUAAUAAAUAAGAGAAUACUAAAGAUUCGAGCCAUAGAAUUUAUCAAUUCUGACACAAGGUACUUAUUAGAUCGAAUGUACUUAUUCGAUCUAAUAGAAUGAUUUUGCCGUAUCCAGACUAAUACCAAUCCAACCCAUUUCAUGAAUAAAAUGUGACCAAUUAACCAACCAACAAAACUGCUUGUUACAAAUAACAUCUUGUUGUUGCAUCGAAACAUAUAAAUGUUGACUAAUCUGGCUAACAUUGAACUUGGUAAAAUGAAAUGGUUGAAUAAUUGAAAAAUGAGAUUAUUCAGGAAUACGCAUUGAAUGCUAAGAUUACGCAUUGAAUUUCUGGUAGUAGAUCCAUAAUCAAAAAAGUUUUUGUGAUUAUUCCAGAAGAAAUGAAACAAAAGAUACGGUAGAGCUAGUACAGUUAUUGUAUGAGGUCUACCCAAUGCUAGAUGCAGAGGCGCAUAAUAGAUCGAUAUGAACAUCAUGAGCUGUCCCGUAAUAAAACCUGUUGUUGCUGAUACCUUCUUCUCGGUUCCUUCUUCUCCUUCUUCCAUAACCCGAGCUCGGAGAAGGAAGAGAUAAGAGGGCCCUAUGGAGAAUGUGGUUAGAAAUCCAUAAUAGAGUCCGACCACAAAGACUGAAUUUAUUAUCUUCAUGCAUAAGGAUACUAGAUUACCUAGUAGAAAAGAUUUCAAAAUCAUCACAAACCUCCCUUUUUCUUUUCUAUUGCAAUUUCUGGAUUAUUAUAUUAUAUGAUGAUUUUUGAACUUUCCAUAUAUAGAAAAGAAAUAGAAAGAGAUAGACUAGAAACGACAUAUGUUAUGUCAAUGACACCAAAGGGAUAUUAAAUGAAUGGAAUUGGGAUAUGGAUGGAAUAUAAUGAAAUAGAGCCACUUUGAGGUUCCCUAUGAAAUGAGACAUGGAAGGGGGCCACUACGAAGAAGUUUCGGGAGUUACGAAGGAAGCUUCGAGCUCAUAUUGGUCAUGGGUUGAGAACGGGAAUUGAACUCUAUGAGAUCUAAUCUCUCGUUGUUCCUUAGUAGCUCAGUGGUAGAGCAGUCGGUUGUUAACUGACUGGUCGUAGGUUUGAAUCCUACCUGGGGAGAUUUGAUAGUUAUCGCUUUCUGACCUAGCGACCCCUGUCCUUCUCCUUAGUUUCUAAACUAGCAGAAUUGUGGGACAUCAAAAGUUGGAAGUUUCUUUUUGGUUUUUAUUCCUCACUCUCGUAUAGGUGAACUUGGUUCGUUCCAUUCUUAGGGAUCCACUGGGAAUGAAUGGGAAGACUGGAGUAGUAUCUUCAUUAGCUGGAAGGAAUUAGUCUCCACUAGCCUCAUUCAAAGAACGAACAAGAAAAGGGUUACUUUUUAGGUAGGAUAGAUGGAUGUGGUCCAAUGGCUAAAGCUCUGCCAGCUUCUUGUAGACUGACUUCUCUUUAGGCUCCGAGUUGUUUUUGGGUGGGAUGGUAAAAUUGUUCUUCGCCACUCGGUACUGAAGUUCUUGGUAAUUAGCAAGGGGAAGGAAGAUCCCCACUCAUUUCAUUCAUUUAGUGCCUGCGGUGAGGCGCGACCCACAACAAACGAAGGGGGAAAGCUUGCUUUGCUUGCUGUAGCCCUAUUUUAGUACCUAAGGCUUGGUAAGCGUAAGCUAUUUAAGUAGGCUCGCAGCUUCGCUUAGCAGAAGAGCCUUACUUUCCUAUUCUAUUAGUCAAGCGCUAGCACCCAACCGGGCAAAUUUGUAGGUUCGAUUCCUGCUGAAUGAACUUGGAACGUUCAGUUCAAUCGCUGUUCACAGAAUUUAUACAUAUAGCUCGCCCUUAUAUCUUAUGGGGUACUUCACUCGCUUAACACUCGUUCAAAACAUCCACUCGUUCUUCACUCGCUAGGGAAAGAAAAAUGAUAGAUUACUGAAAAUCCCGCUUAGAGAUCGCAACUAUAGUCAGCGUAGGAGUUCCCAUCCAUCAUCUCCGUCAAGGCCUUGUUUUACCUGCCAAUUACGAUAGAUCCAUCGGAUUGAAACCUCCAUUAGAUUCAGCAACUAAGGACGAGAUUCCCAUUGCAUCGGCUUUGAUGUCCCGAAUGUUCUCGGUUGCCUUGACCGAGCUCUUCACCGUAGAACUUUUACUCGUUCAACUGGAGCACAGCUAGACUUUCAUCGCUUUCACUAGAACCAGAGUCAUAGGGGCACUUUUUUUUUUCCUUCCUUAAGUCCAGGGAUGACCCCUAUGUUUUUUCAUGGAGCGCAGAAUUUGCCUUAAUCGGCGAGAGUAUAUACAAUCUAUUUCACUGGCAAGAGCAUGAUUGAGGGCUUUAUACUGUAGUCUCUAACUCUUCAAUUGGUCGCUCUACCUCCAGCCCCUUCAUAUUUCGUAUCCUACUGCUUCUUUACUUGUUUUUCUCGAUCAAGCAUUCCUGUGCUUAGCAAAGAGGUAGUAGCAUUUAGCGCGGCAAGAAUUCCAUUUUCCGGAUAAGCCGACGCAGCUCUUGCUUGUUGUCUGUAUGUGGUAGGGCCUAAUUGCCCGGCCACCUCUUUAUCUCAUCUCUUGUCAACACUAGAACUUUUUCAUAAAUGAUGCCAUUCCCGACUCCCAAAAUGAAGCUCAAUCUCUAUUCAUUAGUUCAGUGCUAAGAUGUAGAACUGGAUCGUAUAUGGGUCAAGAGAUCUUCAAUCUAGAAUUCUCUUUUUUAUAUUGCAAUCCUUCUUAGUGAGAAAUUACUCUAAAGACUAUGUAGGGGAAUGCACUAUAGGGACUCAAUAAAAUGAAAAAAGGAUUUGAGACUUAGGAAAUGAAACUUCCAUUCAACCAUAGUCGAGAGGAAAUAAGUCUAAUAAGGCACUAAGGGGGAAGCUUAGAGACGGAAUUCAAAUAUCAGAAUAGAGAGAGGAGUACAUGGGGGGUGCAGUAAACAUAACUCUAGCAAUAUAGACCGGGCCUGCUUCCCAUUCAUUCUUUUAUAAGGAUGCUCUUCGGCUGGUCAAUAGGGCACAUCGCUUUCGCUUCUAUAAUAGAGGCGCUAUAAUAGGCGCGCUUGGCAAACGAAUAAAAACCUUGGUCCGUUUUCAUUGGUCUAGUCCGGUCAUUGUUUUUCUCUUUCUUCUCUAUCGGUGAAUUGGGGGAAAGAGUGAACUAAUAAGGGGAGGUGAUAAAGCAAGAAAUAGGGAAGUAGAAUAGUUGGCACACGCUAGUCAAUCCAGUACGUACGUCGCUUUCGUUCUUUCUAUUCAGUCCUCUCCUCCGGUAAUACGUCCUCUAGCCCUUCCUGCUCAUCUGUAAACUCUCGCAACAUCCCGCUUGGAUAGCGAAGUAAGCAAUCAAAGGGCUGACAUUAGUGAGCACUCAUAGCGUCCUUGCUUUCUCUUAAUCAGUAAUUAAGGAUCUCUCCUCCUUCUGGUAGGUGCAAGCAAUAAAAGGAAUAUCAUUUCAAUAAGACCAUUCCAAUCAGUAAAGGAAGAGUUAUUCCCUUAAUGAUAUAUUGAAAUCUCUCUUUUUUCAUUCAAGGUUAUGGAAGUUUAGUAAAGUCUUCUGUUAAGGUAGCAUUUGCCUUCCCAGGAAUCAAUCCCUUUUGGCAGUGAGUCGAAAGUGUUAGUGAGAAGCCCUCUCAACUCUAGGACUAUUCCACUCUUCUCUGAGUGCCUUCAACAGUGCUUAGGUAGCGCUCACAGUGAGAUAGGCAGCUCAGCUUAAACUUAUUCCUACCCUAAUGUGUCAAGAAUAGAAUAGGUAGCACAAGUCAGCAAGCAAGCAUAGACAGAUCUAAGGUAUCCGGAUCAGAAGGCCCCAACCCACCACCUGGGUCGAGAAAGCGUAAGCAAUCGGUGUCGUCUCAGAAAUGAGUCUAAUAAGACGGGUGGGGACGCGCUACAGCCCCCUUUUUGGGGCCUCCGCUUGCUCCUUCGAAACUAUACUGGCCGUCAACCAACGAGCAAGCCAGCUACCUAGCCUGCCACCAAGCCUGCCGUACCUAUUUCCAUGUCCCUAUGGUCGAAAAAACUACAUACAUUGACCUUAUCCUACUCCAUGCCCCGGUCAUCUAUGCUCUCUCAUCAGCUAUGGCAAGAACUCUUGUCAGCGCCUUAUCUUACUUUGAUCUAAGAACCUGAACAUAAGCUAUCCUUUGACCUUUUGAACCUCACCUUACGUAACCUGACGUAAGAAGAUUUGCUUUAUUUAAUGCAGCAACCACCUCUUUCUGGUGUGCAGAGCUAGACAGAAGGCUUCUUAAGACAUCGCUUUCAUACUCCACUCUCUAGUUCACUGAUUGAUCCUUCCGCUUUUAUAACAGAGGCUAAAAGGUGUGAACGAAGAAAGCUUCUUCUCCAGAUUCCACAAGAAAGGGUUCGGAUCAUUAGGCUUUGCCCAACCUCCCCUCAGGGAUCGCGGAGUCAGGUAGAUCAACUACUUGUAAAUAUCUCCUCACAAAAGAAUAUCCCCUCACUAAACCUCAUAAUAUCCCAUCCCGAGGUCUUAGCCGAGACUUGGCUUACGCCCUUUGGUCUUUCUUUUCUCGUUUUAGUAAAAGGCCUCCAGCUGCAGCAAGGCUAUCUUGAAUUCCAAUUUUCAAUGAUUGAAAUGAAUUCCUCUGUAUUCUGCUGUGCUCAGCGAAAAAAUAGGUUUCUAGGACUAAUAGUUGGAUUCUCUAGCCAAGAAUCCCAUUAUCUUCAGGAAAUGAUGAAAAGGACAUGUACCACCGAAAGGUUGCCCUUCGGGCCCUGUUCGUGUUGUGGAAUGAAGACAAUCCACCUUGGAGUGAAGUGUACUGUUCUGUACAGUGGGGCAAAUAACGACUUUCAUAUAGCUAUUAAUAGAUAGGCUUCCAGUAGCGUAAAGCGAAAGAGAUGGCAGCUCAGGCCGGGAGUCGAACCCAACGGUGCCAUGAAUGGAAAAAUCCUUCUUUUGAGCCUAAAUCUUCCAUUUCACAGGAAAGAGAAGAUGCAAGCAAUAGACCAUGCCCUAGUUCGGUGCGCGAAGGUCUCUUUUUUUCGUCGAGGCAUCUGCUCCGCCUGGUCACGAGUUGGGCUCAAACCAACACCUCUGGACUGGAAAGGGAAAUGAACUCCAACCCCACCUCUCCAACAUCAGAAUAUAAAGAUUGUAGCAUAAAGCGUGCCUUGCCUUAGCUACUAGAUCAGAGCUCUCGCAAGGUGUAGAGGAAACCCAAACCAAUUGGAAGAAGUCAUCUCCCUUGCUGGAGGAAACGACCUUCUUCCGGGAAGAUUCAACUCGAGUUGGAGUUGGCGGUUCUCCGCCCCUUUAGCUCUUUUCGAGCUUUGCCACUCAACAAAAUAAAGAAAGAGCAAAUCCUGGCUUUAAAGACCGAGCAAAACGCCCCUUCACCCCCGCGCAAUUCAGCUCUUCUGUAAGGGUAAAGAACCACCACUAGAUUCUGGCUUUAAGGCGGAAUUGGCAUUAUGCUGCCAGAGGAUAGCGAAUGUACUAGAGUAGCUUCCAACCCCUACUUAGAAAACAAGAAUAAAGGAUUAAGAGAAGAGCAUAUAGAGGAAGGUUGGAUGUAAUUCAAGUACAGAAAUACGGACAUGAGCCCCCACAAACAAGCUCUCAGGCAAAAAGAAUUGGAAAUAGGCCAAGCCUUUUUCUAGAACUGUUCGGAAGAACACAUAGGAGCCUAGCUGAUCAAGAUCCUCAAGAGUCAAGAGAAAGAAAUUGAUCGAAAGAGGAUGGUUCGCUCGAUCCGCUUCCUUUAGUAGUUAGUUAUAAAUGUAUGAUAGGUCUAUCAUUGUUGGCUAGGAAGUCUUCACAAAAGUAGCCUUGGCAAAGGCUGUGAAUAGGGGUCACUGUGAGUUGUUUGAUCUGGUACCCGCAUAAAGCAUAGCUCUUCACGGGUGAUCCUUAAUCUCAGCAUUUGUAAUCAGACUUAGAGCUUCUGCAGAAUCAGUUUCAAGGAUGCCAUCUUUUAUUUCAUAACCUUCAACAGCAUUAAUCGUCUUUCUAUUGCCCAAAGUUUAGCAGCUAAACUUGAUGCUUUUGCCAUGUGCCCACAAAAAGAAAAUAACCAUCUACCUUGGUCAUCUCUUGCAAUCCCUCCAAUCCCAGGAGGGCCAGGGCUUCCUUUUGCACACCCAUCAGUCUUCCAUUUUAUUCUACCUGCAGGUAGUUGCUUCUUCUUUUUGUAAGGAAAGGACAAUUUUCUUAGUCUUGUUCAAGGUUUGUUCCUUACCUUCUGGGAGAGGAAUAAAGUAAAGGGAUUCAUUCACAGAUGAGCCCUUGCCUAUACCAGAGAGAGAGAUCGAUAUAGAGACAACGAGGCCAGGGGAAGAGACCCAUUCUUUAUAAGAGAACGGGAAUACGGAAUGGACCGAUACGCUCGAUAGAUAAAGACAAAAGAGCAACUACAGUUGCGACAGAUUCCUACACCUAUGGGCUCAGGUAAGGAGUUGUUUCAGGAAGGGAGCUAGAAGCUGUGAGUGAACCCAAAGGCAGCGAGUGGGGUAAGUAAAAAAGGGGUAACCAACGAGCAAAGAACUCCGCCUCCUUCUUGGUGGAAGCCAGGGUAUCACUUCAGUGAUACCUGGGCGAAUUCUGCGAUUGCCGCUUUCAGGUGAAUUUGGAAAAUAGGGCAGGGCAAAUGCUUUUUCUCGAAGAUGCGGCGAUUCCGCUCUUUCCGUACUUCCCAACACGUAAAGCAGAAGGUAGUACACCUUUUUGGGCUGAUUUUGAAAUUCUUCAGUGAACCAAGACAACACAGCCAUUCUAAAAGAAUUUGGGUGAGACCAUGNNNNNNNNNNNNNNNNNNNNNNNNNNNNNNNNNNNNNNNNNNNNNNNNNNNNNNNNNNNNNNNNNNNNNNNNNNNNNNNNNNNNNNNNNNNNNNNNNNNNAUAGACGAGCCCUUGCCUAUACCAGAGAGAGAGAUCGAUAUAGAGACAACGAGGCCAGGGAAAGAGACCCAUUGUUUAUAAGAGAAUGGGAAUACAGAAUGGACCGAUACGCUCGAUAGAUAAAGACAAAAGAUCAACUACAGUUGUGACAGAUUCCUACACCUGCUCGAGUGCCAGCACUGACACCCGCUCCUGUUACUUAGUCCGUUCAUGUGGUACCAGCACCUGAAAGAGGUGCUGCGCUACUUAAAUCUAGGGUCCGCGAAGGUGAUGGAUUGCUUUCAAUCAAAGGUAAUGGAUGGUCAGGAUGGCUGACGGGAAGCAAACCAGGCACCCUACACUACUGCCCACCAGAAGGAAUAGAGUUGCUGACACUGAAGCUCGGAGCUAUACAACACAAAAAGAAGCAUGUUCUGGGCCCCGAUGUCUAGUAGAGUAGAACCGAAGCGUGAACACUGGAUCGAAGGCUGCUGCAGAGAGAGAAGCUCUCGACUUACCCAUAUUUGGAUGUGUGGUUAUCCAUAGGUCAGCCCAAGAGCGAAUCUUUCUCUUUCUCUUUCACUGACCUAUAAUUAAUCUUUCCUUUGCUUGCGUGGCCUGGCUCAAGCCCGUUAAUACCUUCAAGAUGAAAGCAUCCCCCAAUCGGUAGCUAAGCUAGUUAACGGACCCUGUCCUAUCCACGGAAAGCUUCACGCCCUGGAAUGGAAUAACUUCAGAAAGCCGAGUGCCGAACCGGAUAUAAAGACGUAAACUUCUUAGAGCUACUUGAAGCUAUACUCAAAGAAGGCCUACGCUUGUUCCUCCAUUUGAGACUUCCAUUCCAGCUAGUGAGAACACUACUUUACAUGAGAAGUAGCGAGUUUUUAGGUUCAGUAACGAACGAUUGGGGAUUUCGAAGAUUCGAUCUUUUCACAUGCAAUCCUCGAUGAGAUGAUUCAAUUAGGCCCGCUUUUGAUCCUGAAUGAUUGGACGAAGGGUCUCACAUUAGGGACCCCUCUCAACUAGGUAUUCGGCCUAAGGAUAAAUUGCAUUUAAGCAAGCUUAAGCCUAUAGUUACGUCUACUUUUAGGCCCCCUUGCCUGAUCAUAGACUGGAUUGGAUGAGCUGAUCAACGGAAAUGUCCAAUCCUUCUCCGACCAAUCCUACUUGACUUGUCUUAUCUAUGCUAAUCGUGUGGGACUGGCCCUACUCACUUAUCGGAAAGAGAAGAAGGAAUUACACGUGCUGGAAUGGCACACUCAUUGGUUUGAUCAUUGGCUACAACGGCACUGGAUCGCGCGGAGAAGAACUUCUAAGGUGAAAGACUCGGGUCCCUCUCCUAUUCAAUUUCUUGAUUUCAUCCCUUCACUUUCAUAAGUAAUUGAAUCCCGCUUUCGUGUCUAUCCUGCCGCUGGAUUCCACUGCUGCUUAUAUCCCUUUUGCCCACACUUUCUUAACACAUAGUAAAUAAAGGCUAUAGAGAGCACUUCUUCCCUUGGUCUGGGAGGUGGGUUAUGUGGGCUUCUUUUAUCGCUUUACUAUUAUUGCUUCUUUGCCAAUCGAAAGAGGAAGAGAUUGCCAUACUGUUCAGGAUACAUAUAUAAAGUACAUAUAGAAAGGGGAACACCUUCUCUGGAGUACUUUUGUCCGAGGAAGGAAAUGAGACUGAUUGUGUGAAGAGCCAAGGGUCUUAGUUGUGCGGUAGUUAGGGGCGCAACCUGCUGAAAUGAAUGUGUGUGGGAGAAAGAAUUCAAAAAAGAGCCAAAGAAGGGAUAGAUAUACCUGACUAAUGCUGGGUGCCUCUUCCUUGUGUUCCUUGCUUGCGUGAAGCCGCGCCCUAUUCUCCUAGUCACCUUCCUUGCUUUGAGACCGUGGGCCCCAAUAGCAAUCAGGUCUGAAUCCUAAUUACAACUCCUAUUUACAUAAGAGCAAUGGGCUUGGAAUCAUUUCUCCUUUUCGGCUUAAAGAAAGCCAUUUGCAGCCAUUUCUUAAUCCUAAGAAAGAACAGGAAGAAAUGCAAUAACUCCCUCGCAAGCUAGCUACUUCUCUAUCAAAACCGAAGCCUUGGUGUAGUUCUCAUCAGGAGAUUCAUCGAUCAAUGCAGUUCUGCUUGCAUGUGCUAGGGAAGGUCAGUCUGAAAGGCACUUUGUCGAAGCUGAUAUAGCUAGACAAUCAAUCUACUUUUUCACUAUCGAACCCUUGAAUUACGUUAUUAAUGAAUUCUUCCUCGGUUCCGCCGAUGUAUACUCUGGCAUGUUCCCUGUUAGCUACUCUGGUCUGGCUGCCUACUUUCCAGCACCUGAAAGAGGUGCUGUGCUAAUCCCCUCGCCUCAGAUCAAAGGCAUGAAGGCAAUGAGCAUCUACAUACGAAUCAUCUGCCUACGAGUGAGAGUCAGAAAGAUCCGAAGAAGUAAGAUCUGCAACGUCCAGCUCAGUAUAGGAGGAUUAUGCCUCUCUUAGCUUACACACGGGUGAGGUUGUCCCUACCAACUAACUACUAGCUGGUGAAUCAAUCAUUGGGCGAGUAUCUUCCCCUAGAGUUACAAAGAGAGAUCAUGCAGAUGUUAGAGCCGGCUCAGUGACAGCAGCAGAAGCAGCAAAAAGGGCUACUCCAGCAUCACGUGUUGCGUUGUUAUGAUUAAAAGGAAGAGUUAAAUCAGAUGAUGAUGAUGAUGAUUCUUUCUUACAAACAGUCAAAUUCAAGUGUAUCAUCUUUCUAUAAGAGAAAUAUCAAGAGAGAGCGAGCGAGCAGAAAGAUUCCAUCAGGGGAAGGAAAGCUUCAGCGCAAGAAAAUAAGACGGAUCGAAGAUAGACUGCUACUACCAUGUCCCUAGCCAUUCUUCUUCUUCUUUGUUGCCUGCCUAUCCGCUUCUGUCAACAUAGAAGGAAGCUUGGGAGAAAAGUCCAAGUGCAAGCAUUAAGUCAAACUGAUUUAGGUAUAGCAAUGUAGCCCUUCUCUUUUUAAGCAGGAAUCGUGCCUCUUAUAUAUAUAAUAAAGAAGAGCUCUUCCCUUUCCUUCUAGGUUCUAUUUCUCUUUCCCCCGAUAUCCUUUAAAAUACCUCUACCACCCUCUUAGCAGGUCGGUCAGUCUCAGUAGUAGAGGAAGAAGAGUCCACUGAUCAUCAAUUACAUCACAGUAGUGGUCCUCUUGCCUUUGCCUGGCGGAGUCAGCCCUUAAUGGGCAAUUCAGACAUCACAUUACACACCGCAGUUGAACCGUGCUUUAGAACACCGGGCAUUGCAGAAUGAGCAGGCUCGGCCUUCAUGCUCUAGCAUACUAUAGUAGACAAAAAGCAUAGCAUAACCAAUCCAGCCGACAGAAGCAAAGCUAAGAGCUCAACGAACGAGUAAAGAAAGCAAGGGUAGCAACCCCUUGUCUCGAGUAUUCCUCAUACUUAGGAUGAUGCUUUUUCUCCUCUACACUUUACAGAGCCUAACUGUCCAAAACAGAACCUAAGCCUAGCCUCGCAAUUCAUUGCAGGAAUCGAAUCGAGGUUUCAACGACUGAGACAGGUCAGUAAGUAAUUGAAUAGACCGUUGGGCACUACCGGACACAAUGAGAAGAGAAGCGGCUCAGCCAGUAGCACAGUCUGAGGGCUUCUUCAGCGAAGGAAUAACACAACUGUCACUAGCGAAGCGAAGCACUCCAACCAAAGUCAGGGGGCAUGGCGCGCACAUAACAAUCCAUCAUUCAUUUCUUGAUGAAAUGAAAGAAGAAUGUCGAUUUCAUUAUGGAUGACGCACACAAUUCAUUUGCUUAUUGCAUUCGAUCAGACAAGUCUUGGCUUGUCCCUUGCUCAGGGUUAAAAUGCAUCUCAGGGUAAGUCUUUCGUAUAGAAAGGUUGGCUGUUUUGUCGAAGGAGAUGAAAUUGACUCAAUAGUUAACGGAAAGGAAGGUAAUGAAUGGGCUAGGAAGCCACUGAUUUGAAGGGAAUGAGAACCGCUGCUUUUAGGCCGGUUUCAGUCUGUCAGUGGGGAAGAUCAAUUGAAAGCUAAGUAAUAAUUAUCUCUACUCAAGGGAGAGUAAACUCACCUUAGUUAGUACUUAGCCCGCGACAGGAAGGUAGAUGAAAGCGAAGCUAACCAUGUUCAAGGAAGAGGCGUUGAGUGAAGAACAGUUCAGUAGUGAAUUCCAAUAUUCCAUAUUCCCUUAUUUCCCGCUUGGGAGAAACUGAGAAUAUCUAGGUUACGAAGUAGAGUCGUCAAGAGGAGCGGCGUAGUCUCAAUCAAAUAUUCCAUAUCAUAAGCAAUUUCAAGGAUUCUCACUUUCAACAACCCAAGCGGCAGGGUUCUUCGAUCGUUAGAAUUCAAUCCAGCUAUCGGUUCGGCUAGACCUACCUUGUUUCGUGCUUUUCUUCAAUCCAGCUAUCGGUGAGACCCUCACUACACGCUCCCCCUUCCUUGUUUCCCACUUGCCUAAUGAAUGAGAGUCUUUAUUUCUCUAUUUUGUCUUCUUUGAUUUAUCUGUCUUUAUUUUCAGACUCAAAAGUGGAAGCUUUCUUAUAAGACUCUGACUCUGACUUCUUCAGAUUGAAGAGAGAGUCUAUGUCUUUGAUCUACUUUCUGUUGCAGGAGUAUUGUGCGAUGAACAACUUGCACAACUGAGGGAAGUUCGAGAUCAUCUUCGAUGGGAUCUUGUGGAUGAAAUAAGAAAGAGAACCAAAAGAAAAGCAUGUUUAGUAUAGGAAGAAAAAGUAAUAUAAGCGCUAAAAUCAAAUAACAAAUGAAGCGAAAAGAAAGAUUAAAGAUAAAAGGCCUUCCCUCAUGUGUCCUAUUGCUUGCUCCAUUAUUCCCUCACUGGCACAUCUUCUUUAAUAGAAUAGGAACUGCAUUUCUACCUAGUAUGGUAUUCAGGGAUUGCUCUAAGACUGACAAUAGGAUAAGGGAAGCUCCAAUUGAAAAACAGCACUACUGCUAGUAAGAUAGCGAUCCAGGGCUCGAUCUACGGCUGUCAAGCUUUCGUGGUCCUUAGGCGGGGCCAUCUUAGGAAAAUCGUCUAUGGGGGACAGUUAGCUAUUUGACACUUCUGUUAUAGCUUAGUGCUUCUUUUGCGAUACCAUAAUGCUCUUCAUUCUCCGUUUUGUUCGUACACAAGUGAGACUUCCAGCGCCGUGCCGAUGGCUGAAUAACUACGAUAGAAUUCACCAGAUGAACCGGAUGAUCCAGCACAAAAGGCUUUGUUUGAACUUGAAAUAGAAGUGGUGGGAACCUGGGUCUGCAGAUACCUAAACUCGCAAAACUACUCAAAUGUGGCUUCUCAUCGAUAGAAAGAGGUGUUCCUAGAACGGAAAUUCUGUGGUACGCGCAUCGUUUCUUCAGUUGGUGGGGCUAGGUUAAUAGCUGAUCGAGCUCUUUGGUACGCGGCUCACCUUUUCAAUUGAGCUGUUCUUGCUACUCCUCAAAAAAUUUGGUAAGAUAAGGCGGAAGUGUAAGGUGUAAGUAAAGAGAAUAGAAGAAUAGCUUUAACACAUGCAUCUCGGACAAAGACUCACUUCAAUAGCUAAACCCCAUAUGUAUCUAUCCGUCACGAGCAAUCGAAUGAGUUUUGAGGGACUCAAGUCAGCUACGAAAGGUUAAGCGGGAUCUCUGUUUUCUAUAUCUAUUCUUUCUAAAUGUACUACUUGUGAGUCAGGGACUAGGGAAAGCAAGAAAAGGGAUAGACGUUAGCCUAGGAACUCUCCGAAGGGAUAGACCCUAGGAGCUCGGAGAAAAGGAAAGGGCCUACUUAAUCUCCGAAAGGUAGCUAGAAUCGAUUCUAUUCUAAGGUGCAAGGUUUUUCUUCCUGGAGUGAGGGCUCAUCUCGUUCAGAGUAAGGAGUGAAAGACCAGGAAAGGAAGGUUGUUAACGAAGGUUAAAAUAGAACGAUAGAUAACAGUCAACAUAGUACUUGAGUAGGAACGAUAGAGAGUAGCUCACCGGGAAGUCUCUGUCCAAGGAAAUUUCAUAACAAUCAUAAGCCCGCGAAAGAGACAAGAAAGAACAUAGAUAGAUGAGAUGACGUAAGCAAAGACAAAGAGGAAGCUCGCUCAGUCGAAGUCAGUUCAGUCGCUUUUGAGCAAGUAGGAAUUCGGGUUCUCAGCCUUAUUCAAAGACAGUUCGAGGGACUUUCAGCAAAGCGGUUUCGUCUGAUCAAGUCUCAAUCUGUGUCAGAGAUUUCCUUUUGUCCGGAAUAAGAUUCUACAUAGGUCCUUCCGUAAAGGGGAUUUUUCCAAUCUGUCUAGCUUCGGUGUGUUCUUUGCUUAAUUAGAAGGGGCAUCCCCCUUCUGCUAAGAGAUUUUCCCGAGUGCUUGUUCUCUUUAUAUUAUUUUAUUUCGACAACUAUAGAUUUUGAGCCAAUCAGGUAUCACCGCGUGUCCACUUUUGUUAGGCAGAAGAAAGAGGAUUCAUCCGAUUCCUUUCCAAUUCAAUGCCAGUAUCCUAAGAAAGGAAAAGCACACCAAAGCCAGGUCAAGUAGUUUGACCUAUCAAUCUAUCUGGAUAGGGUUUUGCAAGGCAGAGAGCCCCAAUCUGAGAAGGUUUUCAGACCAGGUAGGGGAGGUAACUCUCACUCUCAGGUGAAUCCUGUCCUAGGGAAGAGGAAACCCUAUCCUUGGAAGGAACUCACAAUCCUAUCUGGAAUCCACAUCCUAAUGCUCUAGAAAGGCCUUCAUGGCGGAAAAACAAGGAGUCACAUAGUCUCCUUUUGAAUGAGCGCUCUAGCUUGAAACAAGAAACGGCCCAGGGUAGCAAUCAAAGCAAAGGGAAGGAGUGGAGCUAGGUUUGUGCCGUUGAGUCUUGCCUCUCGUAGGCCUGGGUCUAGUCUAGUGGUGGAAGCGGAAUGAGAAAGAGAGUCAUGAAACAGAAUUUAUUGAAGAGCUCACCCCUCUUGAUGACCGGGAAUGACCCAUCUCCGAACAAGCCCUUUGUGAAGCGAGCGGGUGGAUUCCUUCUUAGGCAUAAGACGAAGUUUAUGUUUAUGCUUGCUUUGCUGACUCUGAUAUUUCUUAGAAAAAUGGGCACUAUACUAAAGAUUAGCUUAAGGUAGAAGAAGCAUUCCCGACUCAAGCACGCUUUCCCUUGGGGAGUGAAGGUUCGACGUAGUUGAGAGUAAAAGAUCGGGGCUAAGGAGGGCUUUUCUCACUCAAAAAGUAUAAAAACUCAUGCCGUUCUGUACUCUUUUCAGGUGGUGGAUUAAGCCUCGCCCCCAGCGGCGUCCGUACAGUGAGUUCCAACUCCAGUCUUCCUUAUUGGGGUAAAAGGAAAGUCAUGAGAAAGAACAUAAAAACACAUUGGCGGCUGGUGCACGAACUCGUUGGUUUGGAUGCCUUAUCGAUGACCUGAGUGAGCAGAUAGGAUAAAUCAAAAACAACUGCUUUUCUUUAUCUGCGUCUCUUGAUUCAGUGUCUGCUUACUACAUUUAUGCGCCUGCCUAAGCAUAUUCUUUUUCAUGACUGAACUUCCCCGUCACACAGCUUAGGGCCUGCAGCUCCUCCUCUAGCAAGAACAUGGAUCGAAAAGGGGACCGCCCUAGAAACAUAGCCUCAUGGGUGUUUGCACUUAUGGGUUAGUACAGUAGUGGAAAGCAAAUACUACUCCGAUUGAGCCCACUUUAUUCUAGUACUAGUUAGUAUAAUUAUAAGAAAAUGGAAUAAUAAUAAAUAUUAGUAAUAAUAAUCAUAAGAAUAGUCUCUAUCGAGCCUUAUUUAGACGCGAGCCUCUCCUGUCUAGUCGACCUCACUACCGCAUCGCUUGACUUGAGUUGGGAAGAGUCAUAUUAAUAUUCCUAUUAUCAAACUCUCCGUAAUGCUUGUAUUCCCUUACUGAACGGAAGGAACGGUUCCCCUACUCGCUUGCUAAUGGACUAUAACCGGAACGAAGGCACGGAUUAUAUACCAAGCCUUUCCUAUUCUCCUAGUCUCGCAGUUGUCAGCUCCUUAGCUUUGGUUUUAGCCUCUUUCCUCUUUAUCUAAUAAUAAGGUAAGCUUCUUUGUGUUCGGGCUUUCAAGUUGGAUAUCACCAUAUACUAGUGCUAGUUCGGGUGAAAGCCUCGAAAAAAGGCUUAGCAAUUUCCUAGCAACACAAGGCAUGCUAGAAAGGCGAGAGGAGCUACAUGAAAGCAAGUCAUUCUUUCUAAAAUACUUGCUAACAUGCGAGACGAGACUGGAACCAAGGCCAAGGGCAAGAACUCAACCAACAGGAACCCUAUCAUCAACCAAUAGGCCAGGAGCUUCACCCUCAGCCCGACCUCGGGGCCUGCAUGGCGCAACAGCCUAACCCCAACCCCAGGGUGGGAACUCUUAGGAGCCGGUCACUGAGGUUGGUAAACUAAGGGUGCCUACCGUACUUGUUCCUCUAUCCAUCCCCUCUCUCUGUAGGGUUGAGGAAGGAAAUCUUUCUUUCGGGAGGAGGGGAGCACUUGACAUUCAUUUACCCGGGGGGCAAGCCAACCAACGAAGAGCUGGCUUACGGAGCUUUCUCAUCAAGGGGCGAAGGGGGGUUCAUGCAUCGGCAUCACGUAGGAUUUCCUUCAACAAGAAAGGAUUGCUGCUGUGAGUGAUCACGCACGAUAGAGAAUGGUGGAUCAGCGGACCGAUUGAUUGACCGAGAUGUGAUGCUCACUAAUCGACCAUGCAAAAAUCUCCAAGCUCCUUUACUAUACAAGGGUUCCAAACCAUUAUUGAAGAAAGAGCUCUUGCCUUCAACUCAGAAUAGAACGUUCCUUCCGCAAUGAAAGAACCCGAAGUAACAAGCUGAAGCGUAAACAAAAGAAGCUAAUCCAUUGGGCUAGUUUCAAAUCCAUUGAGCUAACUUUCUAAUCUAGAGAAAGGCACAGAAGGAGUUGAGUUGAAUUAUAUACGUAAUCUAAGUUAGGCGAGAGGAUCUUUAGGAAAAGGGGGCCACCCUGUAGCUUAGAGGAAGAGUGGUCGUCUCUUAGCUGACAGGUCGUAGGUUCAAGUCCUACCAAGUUACUUAACUUGACUUUACACGGACUGAGGAGUUUGGCCUUACAGCACUGAACACCCUCUGUCAAGGUAAAGAAAGGGUCUUACAUCAAACGCUUACCGGCCCGCAAAGCUACGCAUAACUAAAAAAUGGGGGCACUCUCGGGCGCUGCUUUCUCGAUCAACUAGAUGACUUUGAAUUAGAAAGGGAUCAGUCUAUAUAUGAGAACUCUAUUUAUAGCUUUAUUGCUUUCUCACAGAGUCUCAAAUAAAAAUACCCAACAAGCAUUAGCUCUACUAGAAAAGGAUUCAAUCCAACCAAGGGUUCCCCUAUGGCUACCUUGUUACGACCUUACACCAGAUUUACUCUUUAAAAAAAAGGAGUAAAUCCCACCAAUGUCAAUAUGAGGGAUUCACAUACAUGAGAUGAAAGUCUUUAUUUCCGCCAGAUGUUCAAGUGAAGUUACCGCCUGUGAUCCCCCGCUUUUGCAUAGAUUUGGCUUGAAUCUAUAUCUUUUUUUAAUUUUUGAUUGGAUCAAAGAGGGGUAGCUACACCAUAGGAAUGAUUCAAAGGUAGGAAGAGUUUAGGCUGUUAGCGUGAUGAAGAGGAAUGCGGCUAAUCCCUCCACGGUACUUUGCUCUGCAGAACAUGGUAAAAAGGGCAUCAUUUAGCCAACGAGAGGUUUCGAAGUAACUCGACUAUAUGACCUUUCGACCAUGACCUAGAGGGGUGAAGAGGUGCUGUUGAGCCCGACCAUCCAUUACAUCAUAUACAAUAGAUCUUACUGCUUUAGCAGCUUUCUUUCUUGCAAUUGAGCAGCCUUUCUCACUUCCGGUACACUUGCUAUACUUCCAAAAAUGGGUCAUAAACGGGGGUUUUUUUGCCUCAAGUCUCUGUCUUCUUCAAUGGCAAGAAUGGCUGGAUUGAAGAGCACACAGCUAGUCGACUGUAAGGAAUUGAGUGAGCCGAUCAUAGCGAGGAAGAGAUAGAUUUAAACAUUUUAAAAGUAGGGCUGGGUUAAGAACCAUCAAUUGCACUUGCUGUGAGUCAGCCCUAUUUGAUAAAAGGAAAGACUUACAAAAUCUCCAACGGCCACACUAGAUACUGGUUUUCAUAGACAGAGCUACUCCAAGCCCAAUACCAAAUAUGAAUCAUAUUUGAUGAACCAUGAAGUUCUUUCUUUCUACUUAGUACCAUCUUGCAUACCUCUAGAUUCUAGAAGUAGUGACACCGUAACACAUUACCUCGUAGAUUAGAUUGAUUGAGGAUACUUUCUCAUGUUACAUAUAGAAUUUGCAUGUAAUGACUGAUACAAUUGAAAUAAGAUCCCAAAUCAACGAUUUCUUUGUCAUAUUCGGAUUCAGGGGUUCUCUUCAAAAACUCCCAUUGGCCAUUCUUGUUGCUAGUUCGAUUCUAUUCAUCUUUCCGGGUCACUACGUUCUCAUAAGCUUUGGGUAUAUCCGUUAGUGGUGAUUGGUCAUUAAGGUUCCUUUGGGAUAGCAGGAAAAGCAGACUAUAACACGGAGGGUAUAUACUCAAGCUAAAACAAGAAGAGAGAAGAUAGACUAGACAUUCUCAAUAGCCUUGUCCUAGACAUAAUCUCUAGCCGGAUCUCCCUUAUCUCAGAUCUGGGGACUGAACAUAAUCUCUAGCCGUCUCUACGACUAUAUCUCUAGCCGGAGCAACCACUGGAAGGAAGCCUUCUGACCCGGACCAGAAGAGGCCUCUUCUUAUAUGAAAAUGGUUCGGAUUGGGAAAGAGCAGCCCGCAACUCUGGUUCUUAGGAAUGAUUCAUCCCUAUGCUAUGUAUGAUUCAUCGGAUUAUUCUUAUGCGUCUUCGGUGGGUGAUUUAAUGUAUUCGGCGUCUGAAACAAUGUACUCGCAUGCUUACUUAUCUAUUCCCAUCCACCACCCUUCUCGGGAUUUGAGAAACUACUCAUCCAGGAAAAAGAAAGCUGCUACUGGAAAACAACUCCCUCCGCCCUUGUUCUGGUUCUAUACCAGACAACACCCCUUGCCGCUUUCCAUAACAAGCUUGCCUUUUAGUCAUCGACUACUUCUGUAUACUUGAAAGAAUCGUAUUCUUCAGGCUUUAAAGCCUUAUUCACCGCCCUCCCAAAUGGACGUCUUUUCUUUUUUAGUGGUGGCAUCUUCUUCAUUUGAAAGAGUUGAUUCAUAUGCUUUUGUCUCAGCGGAUGAAAUAGCAUAUUUAGAUGCAGCAGAUGGAGAAAUGGUAUAGAUAUGGAGAUGCAGAGUCAGAAGGCUUAGUUUAUUGCUUUGAACCUUCGCUUCCACCGGCUUCAAAGUGGAAGAACUCGCCCAGAUCUAGUAGUUGCUCCUAAUUGGAGGUGAUAUGCUUCCACAGGUGUUAGAGGAGAUGAAUAGCUUGCCCUUCGAGGCAACGCCAGCGGUAGAGGGAGAAUUAAAGCAAUUAGAUCUCGUGGAAUUAGAUGGAUGCCUUUCGACUGGAAAUGGAUAUAUAGCUCGAAUAGAGGGCGAUAGGCCCAACAAAUAAACCUUCUAUUCGUUCGUUCCCCAACGAGUGGAUCUAAAGGCACGAAAGGAGGACCUGGGCACAACACAAAUGAAGGGGGAGAAAGACUAGAACUUCACUCUGCCUCUUCUGAAUAUCUAGUUUCGUACCAUCAGGCAACCUCCUCUUGUUUGAUUUAUAGUUUCUUAUAAUAAAGGAAAUUCCAACAUUGAUUUCUAGUAAAAGGGUAGGAUACCAGGAAAAAUUCUGAUGGGGAAUGGAUCAGAGUGCAAAAAAAAGGAAAAAACAAGCCUGUUGCGACUGGAAGUGAGAGUCUCAGGGUUGAUAAUUGGGCUGAUUUGGUUCAAGAGCCUAUGCAUGAGAUGGUUGUUGGUGAUCAGUCAAUGGAAGUUGUUGAGAAAGGUGACUCUCAUAUCUCUUGUGGGGGUUCAACCGAAAGACCUUCCUCUCUUUCCGGUCUUCAAGAGAAUAGAGGGAAAGCUUUGUCACUUAAAAGGUAAGAUUGGUCAGAUGCUAGUUGUCCAGGGAAGAUCCAUUAGAUGAUCAGCCCAUCCUCCUUGUUAUUGACUGGAAGAAUGUGAACAUCCCAAAGGGAGAUCCCGGGUCUAGUUCCGAGUCAGUCAUGGUCAUCCUCAAAGACAACUAUGUAAGGCUUAGACCUUACGUAUACUGCUUCUCCUUUGGGUAGCUUUCUCUUCAAGCACUCUUGCCUUAAUAAGGGUUAGCUAUGUUUCAAGCACUUCUUCUUUUUAGAAAACAACUCAAAAGAGUCUUUCCAUUCAAGCACUACUUGUAGCUACCUAUCCCUACAACUACUAAACUCUAUGAAAGUCAUAUAACUGCUCUAUAGCUAGAAAGCGUUCUCCUCCUAUACUAUAUUAUAUAGAAAGCAGCUAGAAAAGCCAUAAAGUGCUAUGCCUGCAAUGAACCUGCUAUGAAAACGAUACACCUGCUCCACUGACCUGUGGCUCUACCAUUUGUAGAGAAUAAAGAAGUCACAACACAAAGGAAAGCUUAAAAGAACAACUACUUGAUAAGGUGUUGCUAAGAGACAAUACAAAGUAAUACAGUAGUUAUUCCAGUAACACACCAGCUACGCUACGAAAGUGGAUGUAUAGGCCUCCUAUCCCAUACCCACUCCAAGUGAGCAUCCUAGUGGACCUGUUUAUUGGCGGUGAAGCAAGCAAACGUCUCAUUUUGUUCAUUGCGAGGUUAAGAAAGGGAGCCAAUCCACGGAGUCAUUUUUCUCUAUGAAUUGGAUAUUUCAUUUAGGUAAUGCCAAGGUUGAUUCACCGAACGGUAGGAAAAGGGUGCUAAAAGCCCCCAUUCCCCAAUUGAUUAACUGAUUAUGCCUAUGCUAAGAAAUUACUACUCUCUUUGGUCUUUCUCUAUCUUAUACUAAAGAAAGGCAAGAUUCUCAGUGAUACCGCUUGAAUAACGAUAAUAGGAGUGAAAAUAAAGAGAAAGCUUUAGCAACGGUAGGAAUUGGCUCGACUGGAAACUUGCUCAUCAGUAAAGUAAGAAGCAGAUAAUGAGAGAGUUAGGUAAAACCUAUCAGUUGGUAGCGCUAAUCUAUGAUGUUAAGAGGAGGAUAUGAACCCAGUGCAGUUCCCUCACAAAAAUCACGAAAAGCGCAUGAAACAAGGACAGAAUAGAACUCUUUGUAGCCAUACACUUAGGAAAGAGCCAAGACUUUGACAGCGCCUCUUCAUCCUAACUAAACUACCCUUUAAGAACCUGGGGUUGAGCCUACCUUAGCAGUAGGAUAAUAAGCAUCAACUCACUUCGGUUAAGAAAAAGCUGUUGCCGAGCUUCCUUAGCGCAAACACUAAGCAAGUAAACUACCUUUUUACUCUGAGGAUUUGGCAGGCGAGGACGCUCCGUUGAUUCAGAACCAACAAUAGUUGAUUUCAUACCUAGUUGUAUAGUUCUUUCUCUACUUACGCCGAUUCGUACGGUGUGAAAGCUUUCUCUUCUCCCUUUAUAUCAUUAGUAAGAGUUUGUAGGUAUGCUCCGCGGAAUGAAACCUUGUAUAGCUCAUUUUUAUUUUCUAGCCCCUGUGGCGGUAACUAUAUUCCAUCCAUCGAAAAGCUGGAGCCUUAGGCGAAGGUUGAGCCAAGCUACUUGUUCCCAUCCGUCCUACCAUGAACUCGAACCACUAAGAAGCGUCUCCUGCUCUGCUCGAUUGGCCCAGUCUCUCCAAUGGAGUACUUCUCCUUUCUAGACCAAAAAAUCCGAAUAGGUUACAGAGGAAGCCGAACAAGGUUCUCGUUCCACACACGAAUACCCCGGAAAACCUGGAAUAAAUUCUUUUAAAAAAUAGGUUCUCCCGUGCUAUUGCCAAUCCCCAUUCGUAUCUUUCAUUUUACUUUUUGUACUCUUAGCGUUGCAUAUAGAUGAAAUUUCUUGCUACGGAGAAUCAAAAUACAAAAACAAGGGCUUUGCCACCAAUGCCCGGAAGGAAUUCUUUAUUAGCACUUCCUGUCUUCGAAGCCAAGAAUGGGAAGUGUAUGCCGUGGCUCGGUAGUUCUCCUUCUGAUCCAAUGGUCUGCUUUGGGAAUAUCCAAGAUCCUAUGGUCGGGCUUAUCAGAGCUGUUAACUAACCUAAGUCAGAUGGUGGAGUCUGGGGCUUGACGGGCUGGAGUUAUGGAUGGACUUUAUGAUGGAAGAAGGGAGGUCAAGACAAAGAAGUGGUCCCUAUACCGGCUAGAUAUUCAAAAUGCCUUCCUACACGGAGAAAACAAUAAGGAAGUCUAUUUUUUACUUUCACAGAGCUUCACUAUUCCAGGGAAUACUCAUCUGGUAUGCAAACUAAAGAAGACCUUGUCUAAAGUCAGAACAUAAUUCGACUGGAACAACAGCUGGAGGCUUUACGAUCGAUUCAAAUUCAAAAAAAGGUUUCUUGCGCGUAUUAAUAUUCCAUUUUGAAAUGGAAAAUAGUGAGAGGUAAAACCUCACUAAUUGAUCUGCCUUGGCAUCAGACGUUUUAUCAUCCUUCUAUGAAACGCCAGGAUGCAUCGAGGGAUACCACUACGAAUAAGGGACACUGGAAAAAGAAUGGCGAGGGUCGUAUUAAAAUAACCUCCGCAGUGCCUCACACGGAACAAGACUUCAAAUAAAGACCCGUAUUUAACUAUUUCAAGUCAACAAUGAUAAUAGACAGGCUGAAAACAAGAUUCAACAAUUUCUAACUUAAAAUAGUUAGAGAAAGAAGUUACAGUCCUAUUCAUAUAGGCAGACCGACCCACUCAUAUUCCCCCUAUCUUUAGUCAGGAAUAGCGGUCUGAUAGAGCUCAUAUCCAUCCUUUGGAAAAAAACCGCUACUGUGCCUCAUUUUUCUAUUUUUUUCAUAGGUUGCCAGUUUUCGAAGCUCACUUUGCAGGUUAGAACUAUCGGAAGACGAAAGGGAAAUCAAAUAAAAAAGUGAAGUGAAAGGCAUAAGGAGAGCGAAGUAUGAGUGAGGCCCCCAGAUCUCACGAAUCAAGGGAUGAAACCGAACCACGGAAUGAACUCAACCAAUCACAAAGGACUGAUCGAUCGAAGACUGAGAAGUGCGAAUCAGAUGUUUUAAGCAUUGGUUGCGACAUCAAUUAGACUGGUCCAGGGAGCAAAGACUCCGGUUUGAUUUCGUCUUUCAACGAGUCGAACAAGGCAGCCCAGAGAGAGGCUACGAAAUAGUAAGGAAUGCGGGCGAGAAUAGAGCAAUCAUACCUCAUGCCACGGGGUGGGAGCGCUAGAAAAGCAUAGCUUCAUUACACCUUUCGGAACCAUAGGCUAGGUAAAGGCUCGUUUUCUACUUCGCUUGCUCUGACUUUCUCAAACAUGACUCUCAUUCUCAUAUCCGGCUCUAUAUUCAUGGAAGUGUGGAUAUAGUCCAUGUUCGACUGAACAACCAGUCUUAUCUUAGCUCUGCUAAGGCGACAUCUAAAUCACUACUGAUUAACCCCUGCUCUCUAUCUCAGCGCCAGGGCGAUCGGAGUUCCCGCCCUUUUUUUUCAGGAAUUUUUUACCAUGUGUAAGGAAUUCUCUCAAGUGUUAUCUACAGCUUCGAUAUUCAAGACAACUGAUUGUACCCAGAAAUAGAAUCUGAAUCCUAUAAGGAGCAGCCAGAUACAUCUGUCAAAGUACAAGAAUCGAACUUGAAUAGCUCCAGAAGGAUUACUAGAGCGUUGGCUCAUUCUUUUCGAACUUCUUCCAUUAUUUUGUUAGCCAUGAUUAAUAACCUCUUGUGGAAUAUCAGAGGCAUAGGCAACAUUAAAUCAAGAAGGAGGGUUGGCAAGCUUGUAAAGAUAUAUAAUAUAUCGUUGAUUGCUAUUCUUGAACCUCUUCACGAUGCUAAUAAGAUUCAGGAAUUCUCCAACCUGAGAAACCUUAGACCGGAGCUCAACGCCUGUGAGAUCGUUCGUGCCUCCAACCCUGGAGUCACUUCCCUUCCUUCUCUUUACGAAGCCUAAUCUGCUGAAUAAGGGGAAUUUUCUUUCUCUUGCUAGUUUACCAAAGCUGAUCAUAUGGCUUUCUUUUUCCCCAACUGGUACUCUGAAAGUGCCCUUUCAACCUUCAAUUGUUUCCUGUGCUAGCGGUUGAUGUGCUUUCCUUCCAGAUGGCUACGAACUUGCUUAGCCGUCUUCUUAUUCCUAGAAUCCUUAGCCUCUUCCUAAAGAAGGCCCCUCCCUAGUCCUUAUUCUCUAUUCCUUAUAAAAUGAAAGAUUCAUUCUUUAGCCAGAUCAACAUCCUUCUUCCUAUUACCUAUCUCCAAAUCAAGAUCCUAACAUGAUUUAAGCCAUAACUCUACUAUGGAAGUACUUAGUAAUCCUACUUCCUAUUCACUAUAUACUUCCUUCGUCAGCCUUCCUCUAUAGCUACCUUUGAAGGGAAAGCUGGCUAGACCAAGCCUAGUAAUUAAUUGAAUAAGAAGGAAAAAGGCCACUCAGGUCUAUAUCUAGAAAGGAGGCUGGAUUGGAAGAUUGAGAGACCCGGGACAGUGCAAGUUUGCAGAAAGGCUAGAGCAUUCCCUUCACUAAAAUAGAAUAGUAGGUAAGAUUCACUAGCUAGAAGUUUACUGAGAAGGGUAGAGUUUGUAGUAAUCGAUGAGAGAAUGGUAAUGCUAAAGGUAGGAAGAAAGAAGGCUCAUUAUAUGCUGACCACUUACUAUGGCUCUUCUCUCAUUUGAUUUUUGAAUAUGAUUUAAGCCAAGAUUAGGCUAUCGAUUGGAGGAAGAAAGAAUGCCUUUGUUGGUCACCAUCACCACCAUCGUGAACAUCGGUACACUUCUAAAUAAGGCCUACCUCCCUUCCAUUCAACCAGAGCAGCGAUGAGAAUAGAGACUCAAUUAGCUAAGCAAUGCAUCAACGGGAGGAUUCUGAAAACAUCUUCUCAUAUGACAUUCUACUUUGGUCAAGUCACUUAUGCCUAUUCCUUGAUAGGAGAGGGAAAAUCAUUAGGCCGGCCAGUACCAGAACGAUGAUGAAUAAGUCUGACGUGGGUAGGUAGGAAUCCGAGGAUGAAACUUCUGUUGAUGAAAGCAUUCAUACCAUCAUCUCUAUCCCUUGCUCAUUCUAGGCCAAGCUCUUCCCUUCUUAAAGUACUUUGCCUUCGGCAUCUCACUUGAAUUGGAGAAUGUAUUAAGCAUAGGAUCAUCCAGAGUCUGUAAAGUCUACCUCGCUUAGCUCAACCUUAUCCAUAGACGAUCUCUAUCUCUUCAUUGCUAUGGUACUCUUUGUAGUAGGUAACUUUCUAUACCAGAGCCACUUUACUAACCCUUAGCUUGUGUUUGAUACCUCAUGCCUUCACUUAAUCCAAAAGCUUGCUUCGUGUUCCAACUCAGCGAUAUGAAUACCAUCGUUAGCAAUAACUUCCCCUUCGCCUACAGUCCUUUCUUCACCUCCCCCUUUACUCUUCGUUUGUAUUCCUUGUUCCUUCCAUCUAAGCUCAAAGCUAGCUUCAUCGCUAACAUAAGGCUGAAUUGAAUUUCUUUCUAUAUAUUAUUAAAUAAAGAGUUCACCUAACAGUUCUUGCUUGAUGAGUUGUUGAGACAAUAUUGCUAGCCAACUCUACCUCGCUUUAGCUCAACCUUUCCCCCUUCUUAGUCAAGCUUGGACGCCCAAUCCAUUAUGUUGGACUUUACAUGCAAUUGCUCUACUGGAUAGGAGUAGGAAAGGCAGAAGUCUUGGAGAACUGCUUGUGAAUGGAGGGUUUAAUAGUCAGUUGACAAGGCUACUUUCGAGUGAGUAGGUUUAUUAGUGACUCUCAGUCAAUCAUUACUAAGGCGCAGGGAUUGCUCUAGGAUUGAUUGCACUUUAUAGCUAAGCUAGACAAUUCCAGAUUGAUUCUAAUUUCAUUGAUAGAACCCUGCUAGUUCAAUCCUCACUUUCCAUUCCUAGGGUUAUUGAAUACUUUACUUGCUUGCUAUUGCUAGUUCAAUCGUCAGCUCUUGCUUAGUCAUUGGACUAUAUCCAUUUGAGGGAAACUUUCUAAACACUACUGCAUUUCGGAAUUCAUCCUUUCCUUCGCCCGAUUCUCUCCCUCGUCCUAACGGUUCCUCAUCUCUCAUGUGGAUUGGAUUUGGCGACUGCUCUAUCUAUAGUUAGGGAUGAGCUGACGACCAUGCUACACCCGUGGGUCUGCUUUGAGAAUAGCCUACUGAGCGCCUGCCUUUGAAAGAUCCAUUCCUAUUUACCAGGAUCCUGGAACCAUUCCUUGAUUGAUUGAAAAUCACGAGUCGAAUUUUUCUCUACCUAUUCGACUAUCAAGCUCUUGACACCCUGUUUAGCCUAGCGCCCUCCUCCUCAGGUAAGACAUUCCAUAGAAAUCUUUCUGAUCCUCAAUUACAAUCAAUCAAUCAAUCAAGAGCUUUUACCAAGCAACACCGUAGUUGUUUGUGUAGGCAGAAUCUAGUUUCAAAUCAUAAGAUGACAAAAAGGUACCUAGGAGUUCGCAGGUAUGAUAGAGUCCGUUGAGCGAGAGCUCUUCUGUUUGACCAGUCGGUCUUUACUAGAAAAUUCUAGAAUAAAAAAGAGUGACUAUGAAAUAUGAAAUCGAAUUUCCUCGGAAUUGCUAGUAUGAGGUAAAAAAAAGUAGAAGGAAGGUCAAGGGAAGGAAUAGCCAUACGGUUUCGGGAAGCCGCUGGUGGUCUUUUCUGUUGUUGCUGUGAUCAAUGAAUACCGGGCUCAAGGCCAACCUCUCCACUCAGGGUCAGGAACGGGAUAAGAAGAAGUAGGACAGGCUCGAGGUCAAUUCUUUCUUUUAGGAGAGAUCCCACCCUACCCUUCUUUAGCGUUUCUUUUGAAUAGAAUAAGCCCCGGUGAAGCAAAUCAACAAAAUGACCUUCCAGAACGGAGAUUCAAGAAGAAUUGUUCCCCAUAAUAAAGAAAGCAAAAAUAUAUUAAGGUCGGAAUCUUGAUGCCUGCUGCUUGACAACAUUAGGCUUGCUGAAUAGUUAUACACCUAGCUGCGUACAAGAAACGUCUGCUUGUCUAUGAGAGAAGGACAAACUGGUCACCAAUCCGGGAGGAGAUACUCAUCCUAGGUAAAUUAAGAUGUUUAGACUGAUCAAAUAGCCAGCCGUUGGGAGUUGCUAAUGGUCAUGAAAGAAAAUGUAAAAUGGGUUGACUCAGGUUGUCCCUAAAAAGAACAGAUUAAAGGGUAAUAGUUCAACCUUCUGCGGGAUUCAGAGAUAUUUUAUUUAAACAGGGCCUGUAUCAGUUAUGGGGGUAGAAAGUCAAGGUUAGGGAUAUAAGCCUUAAAAACCAAAGCGCUUUAAAAAAGCCAUGUACCCGCAGAACGGUUUACCGUACUAGCUAGUCACAACUAGCCGCCUCUAAGGGAACGAACCCUUAUAUAAUUGAAAAAACUGGGUGAGGGAACAUUACAGGUUGCCUGAAAUGAGGGUGUACCUUCUGUUAACAUAUAUUCCCGCACAAAAGCAAUGAGUGACCCAACCGAUCAGGGUACGAAAUGGUACUAUGUCAACCAGGGCCUGGGCCGAUCGCUUGAGCUGCACCUAGCAGGGGCCUUUAUCACGUAAGGUACAAGUCUUAUACAAAAAAGAAGUGAUAGUAUAGGUAAUGGAACUAGUGAUAGCUUUGUUAUGAGCUUGUUCUAGUAAGGGCUCGCGAUCCCUUGCUUGUUUGAUUCCUUUCCUUUUAUUCAAUCUCUCUCUUCCCUUUUUCCUUUAGAACUCUACUGGUGAUUAAGGAAGAAAAACAAGCUCUUUUGUACCACUUCAAUCGCUAGCCUGUAAUCCAGCCUAGCAGACUAAAGCAAAGAAUCCUAGAUUUCCCAAAGCUUCGUUUAGGAGAGCCUAUGGAUCUCUUUAAAGUAAAGUACAAUAUCGACUUAAAUGAAACUAUAGCACAGAGGAAUGCUAGCGAGCGCUCAUAUGCAAGAACAGGAGCUCGGACUCUUGUUGUAGUUUGAGCCUUAGAAGGAAGCAAGCGAAGGGAUAGGAAAGCAAGGCAUCCUAUAAGCACAAAGGUAAUAGGCAGGCAGUUAAUCGAUUUCAGUAUUCAAGAUAUCUCCUGCCCUUUCAUACUCGUAGACUUCUAUAAUAGGCUUUCUCCUACGGUACUUGCCUAGGAGCGAGAACUCCAGUUCAAACGUUUCAAGUAUAGCAGAGGAAAGGUAGCGAUUAGUUGUUGACUUUUAUAGAAGCAAGGUAAUGCAAUUAAGAUCAGAGUCAAGCCUGGAAGCCAGAGAGUGAAGAGAAGUUCUGAAAGAAAAGACAUUCACAGCUAUCUCAUAUAGGAGAGUGCGUAUAGUUUUGGACAUCUAUUGACUUUCCUGAAUUCCUUAAAGGAAUUCAGUAAUGGUUAAGUCAAACAUAGCAGUCUUAAGCAAAUUGGUAGUAGCAGUACUGGUAAGCAAUUAAGAGCUUCACUUUGCAUGACGGUCUUCAGUCUAGCAUUCUUGUAGUUCAAGAGUGAAUAAGGAAGUGCAAGGCAGCAAUCAUCUGUAGCGGGCUAGCUCAUUGAAUCGAUAUCUGUAUUUGUAUACAUAUAAGAGAUGCUUUUUGCUUUGUCUUUUCAUUUUAAGUCGGAUCUACAAUGUAUUGGUAAGGAUCACUCCCCUGCCUCUUUGGAGGGCUGACAGUUGCUUGCUUGUGUACCUAUUCCUUCUGGCUUUCCUGCUAGAUAUCCUAUUAUACCGAUUGCUUCUUUGUGUUCCUGUUGCCUGCCUUUCCUAUUGCUUUCGAUUGCGUGCUUUCCUUCAUUUGUGUCUGACCAGAGGAGAUAGUUACCAGCGACAAGAGGGGAGUAAGACUAAGAAGACGUUCCCCUAGUGCCUCCAUAAAGCGAAGCACUAGACUCACUAUAUAGGAGAACACCUAAAGGAAUUAUUCCUGCUUCAGUCAAAUUCAAUGCAUUAUUUCAUUGCCUGUGUAUCAAGCUUCAAAUCGCCACUUUUCACUUUAAUGUAUGAUGUGGGUGCAUAACAUGCAGAUUUCUGUCCAGAACAUAAAAAGAAUCUAAGAGUUGAGAAGCAACUUAGCGUUCAACCGUUACCUCUGACUCGACCUCUGCACCUUCCACCGUCUUUGCGGUUAAUUACAGGUGUAUGGCAUUUGUUGUUGAUAAUGCUUUUUUUUCUCGAAUGUAGGUACGAAACCAGGAAACUCGCCUUAAUUUUUAAAUAAAGCGGAAACAAACAUGUGGGAUAAGUCAACAAAUCACAUCAUAUAUCGGAUAUCGCAUCGGAAAGAGAUAUUUAUUCUCCCUUCCGGGCAAGUCCUGAGGAACAUCGACUUGAUAGUCUUUAUCCCCACUAGGUAAGUGGGAAUCUGAUUUAUUGAUUAGAUUGAACCUAGCGGGUAGCGCGCUACUUCAAAGCUUGCUCAACCGCGAAAGGCUAGCUUCAGAUUCUUCCCAUUCUCUUCCCCCAAAAAAGGAGAGAGAUGCCCCGUCCCUUCUUUAUGCACAUCCAUAUACAUAGCCAGACACAAAGGUGUACAAUCCGAUCAAAAUCUGUGGUUCGUUCAUUCACUGUAGGUUCUCUUACUUGCUCUAGUGGCUGGCAAAGGCCAACCGAGAGGGGUGAACGAAUGGCUCAGGAAUCGAUCGGUUCCGAGCAGACUCGUGGAGUUGCAGUUUGGAUUCUCGUAGAAUAAGAGGAGCCAUAUAAGGAAAUGACUUCACUUAAAAGACAGAUGUCGCCGCUACGAGGCGAGGGAGCAACUUGUCUGGUCUUGCGGUGCACUCAUUCCCGUUACGAGAAUGAAAUGACGCCCCAGCUUGACUCGAGACCAAGACUCCUUACAACUCGCACCAAUAGCGGCACUAAGCGGUCAGAGAUUUCUUGAAAAGGCAGCCCCCCAUAGCCACCUACCUGCUUGUUUUCGUAGCUCGAUCGGAGGUUAAGACUUUGGUCCGGCGGAAAAACAGAAGUCGUCUGUAUCAAGUGAUACGUGAAUUGCUUAGUAGUGCUUCGCCACUACCGUAGCUGGAGGAAAUAGCUUAAUGGUAGAGCAUAGCCUUGCCAAGGCUGAGGUUGAGGGUUAAAGUCCCUCCUUCCGCUCCUGGCUUCGUCGUUUAGUGGUAACGAGUGGAGUGCAGAAGCCCCUUUAGAGAGAGGGGUGAGCAGCAAGCAGCCCCUUGUAUUGGGUUCCAAACCUAUCUUACUAAUAACAUAGAAAGGGGCAAGCCAAAACCUACUCCUAACAAGUUGCUGGCUUUUCAUCAGCCGUUGUGCGCUUCUAUUUUUUAGCAGGCUUCUUCAAAUAUCCCAUAAAUGAAGUAGGGGCUAUAACUAUAAGUAUAAGUAGCUAGCUAGCGCGCUAGCAUUUUCCCUUACUAGUAAAGGGGCUGCUAGUUGUAGCGCAUAGUGUACUAGUGAAUAGGAAAGGCGAAUUGAGAUUACUAAUGACGGAUGGAGGUUGAGGAUAGAACAUGUUUGGUGCCUCGCCCUUGUCUCCUUUGCCGGAGACUGCAAAUGAUGGGAAUCCUAUCAAUAAAGAAGAGGCAUAAGCAUCGCCUCUCGAUCCAAUCCGUCUUCCCUGGCCUCCCCAACACACUCUGGAUACGAAAGAAACCUCCCGCCAUAGAGAAGAGAUCUAAAGUCUGGGUCCCCUCGAUCACCCUCCCUUGAACCUGAACAGGUCGAGAGAGAUGAACCCGCACCAAAUUUUAUAACCUUCAAACCGAAACCCCCAACUAGAGAUGGAAUUCAAGAACCUAAACAACUCAGUUGAGAGCUCCGUGACUGGUUCAAGGGAAGGUCCACCAAUGAUUGAUAGGCCAUUCCCCCCUAUCCGUCUCUUGAUCCCUCAUUCCACUAAUCCGUUGUUACUGAUUCAUUAAAGGCAUAGACUCCCCAUUUUUUUGUCUUAUUAGCGUAGGUGUUCGUCAACGAUGAAAGCCGCUGAACUUAAGACUCGAGUUGAGAAAGAGGGCUAGGCCCCCGGGAGGGCUUUCAGGGACUAGGGAGGGUGGAUUAUAGAGCUAGGGGCAAAUCGAAGGUUUUUCCAUUGGGAUUGGGCAUGGACGAGCCUCGACUGGGCCAGCAUUGAUGAAAAAAUGAAA
rnacentral:lncRNA from 1 species